UAUGGUCCCAUGAUGAAUCAGAAGGCCAUGAGAUCAAUGAUGAGCAUGUGUUGGAUGGUCUUCAACCGCAUCCUAACUUGAAAACCUUAUCAGUAGUGGACUAUUUAGGGACUAAAUUUCCUUCAUGGUUCAGUGAAGAGUUGCUACCAAAUUUGGUCAAGUUGAAACUAAGUGGUUGCAAAAGGUGCAAAGAAAUUCCAUCCCUUGGCCAACUGAAAUUCCUUCGGCAUCUUGAGCUGGUAGGAUUCCAUGAGUUGGAAUGCAUUGGACCUGCUUUAUAUGGUGUUGAGAUUCGCGAUAUUGGAUCAAGCAGCAUUAUCCAAGUGUUCCCGUCAUUGAAAGAACUAGUAUUGAAGGAUAUGCGUAGUCUUAUUGAGUGGAAGGGAGAUGAAGUUGGAGUAAGAAUGUUUCCUAGGCUUGAGAAGUUGACGAUUUCAAGGUGUCGACUGUUAAAAAGUACUCCAAGUCAAUUUGAAAUCCUGCGUGAAUUAGCAAUUCAUAGUGUUGACAGUGAAAAGCCAUUGUUGAACUUGUGCAGCAACUUGACAUCUCUCGUAGAGCUUAGUGUCUAUUUUGUGAAGGAGCUCACUUGUCUUCCCCAUGAGAUGCUCCACAACAACGUUUCUCUUCAACACCUAUGUAUCUCAGACUGCGGAGAGUUUCGUGAAUUGCCACAAAGCUUGUACAAUCUCCAUUUUUUAAAGAGCUUAAUGAUUGACAGCUGCCCCAAUUUCAGUUCUUUUCCUGUUCCCAGUGGAGAGGAUUAUUUGACUUCCCUCCAAAGUCUUCAGUUAUGGAAUUGUGAUGAAUUGACCAGUUUACCAAGUGGAAUGCUAGAGCAUUGUCUGUCUCUAGAAUCUUUGAUGGUCAAGCACUGUAACAACUUAGUUUCCUUGCCUUUACAUGUGUGGGAAAUGCCUUCACUUUCAUAUUUGGGUUUAUUAGAAUGUACCAAAUUGACUAGCGUAGCCGCAGGAGGACUUCACCGUCUCACCGGGUUACGGAAAUUACAUAUUGGUCCUUUCUCAGAGAUGGUGGAUUUUGAGGCAUUCCAAUUGAUUUUUAAUGGCAUUCGGAAGCUGUUGUCCCUUCAUACAUUGGGGGUGUCGGGACACUUGCACUGGGAUUCUCUGCCCUAUCAGCUGAUGCAACUCUCUUCCCUAAUAGAGAUCCAUAUAUCUGAUUUUGGAAUCGAGGCUCUUCCUCAUAGAUUUGACAACCUUACUUCUCUUGAAACAUUAACGCUAAAGAGGUGCAAACGGCUGCGAUAUGUGGACUUCUCAGAUGCCAUGCCCAAAUUACAAUAUAUGAGGAUACAAGAUUGUCCAUUGUUAGAAGCUCUGUCGGAUGGGCUCGACCAUCUUGUUUCUUUGGAAGAGUUAAGUUUAUCUAACUGCAAAAAACUAGAGCAUCUUCCAUCCAGAGAUGUCAUGCGACGCCUCACCAAAUUAUGGAACCUGCAAAUUUAUGCCUGCCCAAAGUUAGAAGAAAGUUGUAGCAAUCUGAGUGGCCCAAACUCCCAGUGGUCCAACAUUUCCCAUAUUCCAAAUAUUGAAUUAGGCAGAAGGAUAAUUCAGGAUAGACGUAAGUGUCUGUUUCUCUUUCACUUUAUGAGUAGAUUUUUUAAAUGUUAUUUUCCGCGAGUUCCAGAAAUAAAGCUUUGUAUGUAAUUUAAUAUUUUUUCCUGCAAUUAUUUUGACAUUAAAAAAUGCAAAAAUUAUCAAUCAAUUGCAUCUGUGCCUAUGCUUUCUGCAUUCUGCUUGUCCACUUUAAUCGAACUGUUCUUCUUCUAAUUCUUCAAGUAUGGUAUAUCUUGAUAUGAUUUAAUCAUGAAACUUAUGUUUUAUUUUCCCUCUAGGUUACUAGUUCCAAGGUCAUGCUAGAACGUCAAUGUGGUAAAUCAAGCCAAAUCCCAUGAGCGGCAGGCAACUACGUUAGGUAAAUUUUCAUUAGAAUUUAUAGGCACUUUGUAAUCUACCUGUUUUUAUCUUUGUUUUUGUUGGGAACCAAUUUUCAGAGGUCUAUGCUGAUGAAUACAACAUUACCUUCCUUAAAAGAAAGUUUAAUCAUGAAAAUUUAUGAUUCUUCUCAUAGGUUACUAGGUACAAGGUCAUGGUAAAUCGUCGUUGUGGUAUAUCAAGACAAAAUCCAUGGGCAGAAUCAUGUAAAGUAUUUUGGAACCACCACUUUUAUUUUGUAUAUAUGAAGAACAAAAUCUUCAGCUCUAGACUCAUUAUGGAACACUUUCAUGAGUAUUUGGAUACUGAACAACCUUUUUGGGCAACUGAAGUCUACAUAUGAAACAUAAAAAAAUUCAAAGUGUAUAGGGUGCUCAAUGAGAAGCUACACAGGUCUAUCCUCUGUCUUUGCAUGGCCGUGUGUGCAUCCUAAUUGCAUCAAUCAACUAUCCAUGAAAUCGUGUACCUGUUUGAAUGUAAGCUGUUUGGAAGAGACUACAUUAGUUUCAGUUAAUUUGGUGUUUCUUUCCAUAUAAUUCUUCUUUCCUUUUUCCUUUUGCCACAACUUCAGUCCAUAUAAUCCAGUGUUUUGCAUUGAUGAUACGGGUGGCAAAUUUAAUCCUUGAGAAGGACACAAAUGAUUUGACCAGUUUGAUGCGUAUCCAUCCAUUAGGCUGAAGGUUUCUCUACUUUGCUUAUUGAACCAAGAUUUCCAUGUAAGGUAUGCCUAUGACACCGAAAUAACAACUUUUCCACAGCAUAAGUUUCUAUGUUUGUAUCAUAAUAUCGCAUAAGUUAUGAAGUAAACGUAACACCUCGGAUUUCGUGCCCAUGAAUAUUCAGUAUGUAGCAUAGAAAACCAGAUUGAAAUUUAAGUUCCAGGUUCCCACGGAAUGGUUCAUGAGUUGUGAACCAGGCUUGUGGAACCACUAGCUCGUGGAAUCCAUCCUAGUCCUCUAGGUUUGUCACACCCCGAGCUUAGACCUUGGGCGGAACCGGCACUCGGUAUCAUUAUAGGCCCGAGGGCGUACCCAUAACAUGACAUUAGAUAUGAGCAUACAUCUAGACAUGAGCGGAAACAUUAGUAUAAACACAUUUGAAGAGACAAGUCUUGUAAAAGAAACACUUGGCAUAAAUGUAAAUCAUAGUACUAAAAUCACUGACAAAGGACACGAAGGUCCAAAAUGAAGCAUAACUAACUGUCUAUAUAUCUAUGAAACAUCUAGAUAUAACUGAGUAAUGUCAAAUGGGAGGUGCCCAUUGAAUUCUGUUCAUGAGUUGCAGCUCAAAUAAAUUCUCACUGAUUGUUUUUAUGGAUUCAACUAGGAGGUUGCUGUUGUACAAAAACAAAUUGCAUGUGCCACCUCACUCUCGUGCUAGCCAAGUAUUAAACUUGGGUCGAAGUAUGCUCAAGAACUAUUGUAGCAGUAUCCGCUGCGAAGGACCUAGGACUUGAAUGGAUUGACCAGUUGGAGGGACAUCUGUCCAUUAGGUUGAAGGAUUCUCUAUUCUGCUUAUUGAACCAACCUUUCCAUGUAAGCUUCUUCUAAAAUUGUUAGUCUCCUACAUUCCUUGUUUUUUUCCUUAUUGUUUUUAUUGCUCACUUACUUCUAUAAAGUUAGUCUGAUGCAAUAUAUCUCAAAUUAUUCAAAUGUUUUGUUUGUUUUGCACGAGUAUCCUUCAAUAAAGAGUUUAUCACUUAAUCCCCGAAUGUAGUAUUCUUCAUUACAAAGUAUAAUGGAAGUUAUUAAGUGGUAUGGUUCUUGAAUAAGAUAACUGAUCAUUCUCUUCAAGUACAGAGAAGUAAUAGCUUGUCAUAACAGGUCUAUUACAGUUUUAUCUUGCGUAAGAGGAGGUGGACCAUUACACGGAAAGCCACUAACGUAGGCUUUGAUGCAAGACAGAGUUCCUUUUGAACCGAAAUGUGACUUCUACUGAUAGUAGAAGCUUCUCCAGUUUUUGUUGGCCGUCUUCAACAGUAUUUCCUGUUUAAUUUUCAAGGGUCAGAUUGGAACAUUUCGCUUCAGUGAUGACUGUGGUUGCACGAAGCUUGAAAGUUCAAGGUAAGUUAGUUUUUGUCCAUAAAAGAUAGCAAAUGGUGUCAAUACUUUUUUCUCUGGAAUGGUUUUCUUUUUCCUCUAAAUGCUGUUUUUAAAUCAUCUCACUUAUCUAUAUCUCGUUUACUUUUCUUAGUAUAUUGAAAACUCUCAAGGAACUAUUUCCAUGUCCAUAUAUGGUAGAAAUGUGUAAAACUUUCUUAAUAGGCUCAUAAAAGAAUAACUUUUCUGCAACGCUGGUUUUAUUUUCAUGCUUUAGACAGUAGAACUUUUAUGAAUAUAUGACACACUUGUCAUUGCUUUCACUUCACAGGACAAUUUCUCCGUUCAUUAAACUUUCGUCAUUGAAGGACUUCAACAGAGAUAGUUGUCAUGAAUCAUUUAGCAAAGAAUGCCCCAUUGGCUCUUAAAAUGUCCUUAGCAACAUCUGUUCAUCUUAACAGGUCUUGCUUUCUCCUUUUUUUAGUGGUCACUUGUAAUGAUCUGCUUCUCCAUUUUCCCAAGGAGGAAACGUGUGCCAAAACAGACUUUUUAACAUUUCCUGGAUGAUUUCAGAUUCAUGUUUGAAACACCAGCAUGGACCUCGUCGAAAUGCUACUUAUGUAAUUUAGACUCUCAGGAAGUUUGCUUCAAAAUAGUUAUUACUAUAUAAACAUUACCCUUUUGUUUUACUUAUUUACUAUUUCUUAAUAUUUAAGUAUUUUAGACGAAGAAAAGUUCAUAUAACUUGUAAUAAUGUCAGUUGAAGUUUGUAUUAAUUUAAUUUUUAUUAUUUAUUUAAUAGCUAAUUUUAUGAGAUAAAUAUUUUCAUUAUUGCAAAUAUUUAUUUAUAUUUGGGUAAGUAUUUGUAUUUAAAUGAAAGUAUUAUUUAUGCCACAAAUGUAUUAUCAGGUUAGCGAGAUCUUCUAACUUCAAAAUGUAUUAUUUUAAAAUGUUUCGAGUUUUUUUUUUUUUAAAAAAACUCACAACAGAUGUGAAAAUAUGUGAAUAUAUAAAAUAUAGUUGAUCUCUUCACAAGUUCAAAUGACAUCUAAAGAAUUUAACGUAGAAUACACAUGCAAAGCACAUCUGGUUAGAUGACAACAAAAAUACAAAACAAAUAUCGUCUAUAAGGUAAUAUUAGUGAGAUAAGACUAAUUACAUAAUUGAACCUCAUCAAAUUGAAAUAAAUCUAUGCAUAAUUGCAUUUAACUAAUAAAAGUUUUCAUUGAUCAUCUUCAUAAAUUUGCGUGAAGAAAAGAUAUAUAUGACGAUCCACAUUGAACAUUCACAAAAGAAUCUGCAAUAUUAUUUUUUACUAAGCUUAUUAUUCAAAUCUUAAUUUGCUUAAAUACGCAAUACUAUUUACUAUAACACAUAUUUUUGAAAUUGGUAAUCACGUGCAAUGCAUGUGUCAGAAAACUAGUAUAUAUAUAACAUGAGGAAGCAAUAGUUAUUCAUAGCAUGAAAAAAUGUAUCAAAUAAGAUAAUUAAUACACUGUAAGAUGCAUGAUCUUGUGCAUGAUUUGGCUGGAGAUAUUUUAAAGUCUAAACUAUUUGAUCAAAAGAGUGUAGGAGGAGAAAAUCUUUCUCAAGUCCGAUACUUUGGAUGGGACUCACCAAGUGAUAAAAUAGAUAAGAUAAACGAGCAUGGACGUUUGUGCACAUUUUUCUGUAAAAGAAAUAUAUCUGAAGAUAUGCUGUUGAGCUUUCAGUUCUUGAGAGUUAUAAAUUUGUCCAGGUCAGGCAUUGAGGUGUUGUCAGCCAAAAUCGGCAAGCUAAUAUACUUGAGAUAUCUUGAUCUCUCCAGUACUGAGAUCAAAGACUUGCCCAACUCCGUUUGCAAGCUCUACAAUUUGCAAACAUUUAGAGUCAAUGGCUGUUCUUCACUGAGGAAGCUUCCGGAAGAAAUGGCAAAUAUGAAAAGUUUGAGACACAUAUAUUACCAAUCAGAAAUUGAUUAUCAGUUUCAGAUGCCACUUAAUAUGGGGAAAUUGAUCAGUCUUCAGACGCUACAAUUUUUCUACGUAGGUGUAGAGAAAGGUCGUCAAAUAGAAGAAUUAGGUCGUUUGAAAAACCUUAGAGGUGAAUUAACAAUCAAAUGUCUACAAUUAGUCGGCAAUAAAGAAGAGGCUCAAACAGCAUAUUUACAGGAGAAACCAAAUAUCUACAAGCUGGUGUAUUUAUGGUCCCAUGAUGAAUCAGAAGGCUGUGAGAUCAAUGAUGAGCAUGUGUUGUAUGGUCUUCAACCACAUCCUAACUUGAAAACCUUAGUAGUGGAGAACUAUUGGGGGACUAUAUUUCCUUCAUGGUUCAGUGAAGAAUUGCUGCCAAAUUUGGUCAUGUUGAAAUUAAGUGGUUGCAAGAGGUGCAAAGAUAUUCCAUCGCUUGGUCAACUGAAGUUCCUUAGGCAUCUUGAGAUGAUUGGAUUCAUUGAAUUGGAAUGCAUUGGACCUACAUUUUAUGGUGUUGAUAAUGGAUCAAGCAGCAAUAAUGGCAAUAUCCAAGUGUUCCCGUCAUUGAAAGAACUAGUAUUGAAGGAUAUGCAUAGGCUUAUAGAGUGGAAGGGAGAUGAAGUUGGAGUAAGACUGUUUCCUGGGCUUGAGAGGUUGACGAUUACAGAGUGUCCACUGUUAAAAAGUGCUCCAACUCAAUUGGAAACCCUGCAUGAAUUAGAAAUUGAAAGAGUUGACAGUGAAAUGCCAUUGUUGAACUUGUGCAGCAACUUAACAUGUCUUGUGGAUCUUUCUGUCAGUGACGUGAAAGAGCUCACUUGUCUACCUGAUGAGAUGCUACGCAACAAUGCUUCUCUUCAACGCCUAUGUAUCUCAGCCUGCAGAGAGUUUCAUGAAUUACCACAGAGCUUGUACAAUCUCCAUUCCCUUAAGAGCUUAGGAAUAGCCUUGUGCCCCAAUUUCAGUUCUUUUCCGGUUCCCAGUGGAGAGAAUUAUUUAUCUUCCCUCCAAAGGCUUCAGUUACUUUAUUGUGAUGGAUUGACCAGUUUACCAAAUGGAAUGCUAGAACAAUGUCGGUCUCUAAAGAUUUUGAGGGUCAGCAACUGUAAGAACUUGGUUUCCUUCCCUUUACAUGUAUGGGAAAUGCCUUCACUUUCCAUUUUGGAUAUGUCAGAUUGUCCCAAAUUGAUUAGUCUACCCACAGGAGGCCUUCACCGUCUCACUGGGUUACGGCAUUUGAAAAUUGGUCCUUUCUCAGAGAUGGUGGAUUUUGAGGCAUUCCAAUUGUUUUUUAAUGGCAUUCAGCAGCUGUUGUUCCUUCGUACAUUGAGGGUGUACGGACAUGGGCACUGGGAUUCUCUGCCCUAUCAGCUUAUGCAACUCUCUUCUCUAAUUGAGCUCGAAUUAAGUGAUUUCAGUAUCGAGGAUCUUCCUCAUAGUCUUUGCAAUCUUACUUCUCUUGAAACAUUACAUCUAGAGGGGUGCAAACGGCUACAACAUGUGGACUUCAGAGGUGCCAUGCCCAAAUUACAUUAUCUUGAGAUCUAUUGUUGUCCAUUGUUAGAAUCUCUGUCGGAUGGACUCAGCAACCUUGUUUGUUUGGAAACGUUAAUUUUUUGGAACUGCGAAAUACUAGAGCGUCUGCCAUCCAGAGAUGUCAUGCAAAGCCUCACGAAAUUACAGUACCUGGAAAUUAAAGACUGCCCACAGUUAGAAGAAAGUUGCACCAAUUGGAGUAGCCCAAACUCCCAGUGGUCCAACAUUUCCCAUAUUCCAAAAAUUAAAGUAGGCUGGAGGAUAAUCCAGGAUAGACGUAAGUCUCUGUUUCUCUUUCACUUUCUGAGUCCAUUUUUUAAAUAUUAUUUUCUACGAGUUCCAGAAAAAAAGCUUUGUAUGUGAUUUUUUUUUUCCUGCAACAUUUUGACGUUAAAAAAUGCAAAAUUAACAAUCAAGUGCAUCUGUGCUAUGCUUUCAACAUUCUGCGUGUCCACUUGAACCGAAUUGUUCUUCUUCUAAUUCUUCAAGUAUGGUAUAUCUUGCUAUGCUUUAAUCAUGUAAUUUAUGUUUUUUUUUCCUUAUAGGUUACUAGUUUCAAGGUCAUGCACUCAUGCUAGAACGUCGCUGUGGCAAAUCAAGCUAAAUCCCAUGAGCGGCAGGCAAUUACGUUAGGUAAAUUUUCAUUUAGAAUUUAUAGGCACUUUGUAAUCUACUUAUUUUUUGGGAACCAAUUUUCGGAGGUCUAUGCUGAUGAAUACAAUAUUACCUUUCCUAAAAGAAAAGUUUAAUCAUGAAAAAAUUAUGUUUCUUCUCAUAGGUUACUAGGUGAAUAAGUAAUUUAUUAUUUACUUAUUGGUGAAACGCUAGAGGUAACAGAACCAUUUCUUUCAGAAAUCCACUUACAUAAGCUUUGAUGCAAGACAUAUUUCCUUUUGGUCCGAAAUGUGACUUGUACUGAUGGUAGAAGCUUCUUCAUUUUUUGUUGACCGUCUUCAACAGUAUUUCCUUUUAAUUUUCAGGGGACAGAUAGGAACAUUUCGCUUCAGUGACUGUGGUUGCAUGAAGCUUGAAAGUUCAAGGUAAGUGAAUUUUUUGUCCAUAAAGAUAGCAAAUGGUGUCAAUACUUUUUUCUCUGGAAUGGAUUUUCUUUUUCCUCUAAAUGUUGUUUUUAAAUCAUCUCACUUAUCUAAAAUCUCGUUUACUUUUCUUAGUAUAUUGAAAACUCUCAAGGAACUAUUUCCAUGUCCACAUAUGGUAGAAAUCUAUAUAAGUUUGUUAAUAGGCUCAUAAAAGAAUAAUCUUUUCUGCAACGCUGGUUUUAUUUUCAUGCUUUAGACAGUAGAACUUUUAUGAAUAUAUGACACACUUCUCAUUACUUUCACUUCACAGGCCAAUUUCUCCGUUCAUUAAAGCUUCCGUGAAUGAAGGACUUCAACAAAGAUAGUUGUCAUGAAUCUUAUAGCAAAGAGUGUCCCAUUAGCAGUAUCUGUUCAUCUUAAACAGGUUUGGCUUUCUCUUUUUUUUAGUGGUUACUUGUAAUGAUCGAUCUGCUUCUCUAUUCUUCCAAGGAGGAAACAUGUGCCAAAACUGACUUUUUACCAUUUCCCGUGUUCCAGAUUCAUGUUUGAAAUACCAUCAUGGACCUCGUCGAAAUGCUACUUGUGUUAGAUGUGUUUCAAUGUCAUAAUUGGCAAGGGAAAUUGCAUUCCGUAAACUCGUUUGCAUUUGGCUGAAUUGGAUUGGAGAUAUCAUUUCCUUGAAUGUACGAAAUCCCAGAAAAGUGAAAUUAGUUGAGCUUGAUGUUGGUCCAAUUCUAAACUAAAUUAACUGGCACUGUCGAAAGAGCAACUUAUGUCUUGUGAUUUUUAUUUUACUGGUAUGUGAGACGUGCAUUACACGUUUAUCCCAAAAUACUUUAUACAAAUUUUGUAUUGUAAAUAAUAAAUUUAAAUGACACAUAUAUUAUUGAAUUUUCUAUGUGUCAUAAAAUAAAAAUCAAAGCAUACAAAAUAAAAGUAACCACUCAUAAAUUGAGGUUAGAAAAUCUUGCAAAUUUGAUGCUACAUAGCACAUAUAUAGUAUUUUAAUUUAAAGAUAAAUACAUAUUAUAAUAGUAAAAGUAUUUAAAUCGUGAAAUUAACUAUUAUGCAUGAAAAAUAAAAACUAAAUCGAUACAUAUAUAUUGAAUUGCAUCUUCUUCUUUUUUUACCAUAAUUUCAAUAUUAACGCUUUCCCUCUUCUUCUUUUUUUUCUUUUGAAAUGAUUUUUUUAGGAAGCCUAGGAUCAUCCAUUAACUGUUGUCUCCGAUGAUGACAGGAGUCUUCUGAACAAAAUUGUUGAGUUCAAUUUGAUUAGUUUAAUUUCCGUGUUUAAUUAGUUGGAUCAUAACAAACCAUCAGUUGAUAGUAGAGUGGUGGACACCCAGAGAAGACCAAUUUUGAUUGGCACUGGGUUUGUAUGCUAAGGCUUCCCCUCCAGCCCUAAAAUAAUGAAACCACCAAGAACCAUAUGAGUCACUACACCUAUUAGUAUAAAUAUAUACAUGUCCGCUUCUUUUUUCCUUCCACAUAUUCCUCAUUUGCAUCUUAAUUUUUUUAGUUAUUAUUGAAGAUUUUUGUUUGUGCUUAUGAGUUUCAUGUUAUAUUUUUCUUUUUGGAAAAGGGCCUAAAAUACCCUUGAACUAUUGAAAAUGGUACAAAAUUACCCUCCAUCAACCUAUUGGCUUCCAAAUUAUUUUCUUUUCCUGGUUAAGUUUGAUACUAAAAUUAAAAUUCAUAAAAUAAAUUCAUUUUUUCAUUAAGUUGUAUUAAUUUAAUAGGAUAGUGACUUAAAAUUUUAUUUUUUAGAGGUCAAGAAAUUGAGUUAUUUUUUAUUGAACCACUUUCAUUUACUAUCUUGAAUAUUUUAGUAGCUUUAAAGAAAUUAUUUUAAUAAGUAACGUUCUAUCACUCUUAUAACAUGUAAAAAUUAAAAUUGAAUUUAAACCCACAUAAAAUCACAUAUACCCGCUGUAGACACCCAAUUUUGACCCUCCCCGAUAAUAAUUAUUUCACGAGCUUCUUAAUUCCCCAAACGAUUUAGAAUAAUUAGUUUAUAAAAUUCAAAUAAUUUUCAAGUCAUUUUAAGUAGUUUUGUCAUUUUUAUAAUUUUAAAUAAUAAAUAUGAUAUUUUAUAUUAUUAUGUGUCUAAUUAGUAUAUUUUAUGAAUGUUCGAAAAUUGUCUCUAAAGGAUUUUAGUUUCAUUUAAAUAUUUGGUUAUUUAGUUUAAAUUAAUUAAUAGCUUAUAUUUUGAGUUAAUUAGUUUAUAAUUCAGUUAAUUAUUAUAUAAUUAUGUGUCUAAUUAGUAUAUUUUAUGAAUGUUCGAAAAUAGUCGACAAAAAGUAUUUUUGUUUAAAUAAAAUAUUUGGUUAAUUAGUUUAGUUACAUAAUAUUUUAUAUUUUAAAUUAUUUGGUUUAUAAUUAAGUCAAUUAUUUUAUUUUGCUGAAAUUAAGAAGCUUAUUGAUUAAUCUAUAUUAAUUCAUCUUGCUUAAUUACUAGUCGAACUUAUCCUAGUCAACUAAGUUUGACUACAUUUGGCUUUAAUUUAAAUUCAUGUAGCCAAAGUUUAAAUCCAAUUCUAGCUUUAUCAAUUUUUAAAGGACCAAAUUUUGGUCCUUUUCUCAAAUUUGACCAAAAUCAUGGCCCAACAGCCCAUAUCCAAACAAUACGUACAUCAAACAACCAAACCGACCCCACCCUUUUUUCUUUUUUCCAGCAAUUCCCAACUACCUAGGCCCACCAUUUUAAUUCCUCCAACAAUACUAAAAUAAUAACAACAUACACCAAACCGGCCCCCAUCUGCAUCGUUCUUCUUCUUCGCAGAAACGAACAACAGCCCAAAAACGAACAGCAGCCCAGAACGAGCAGCAGCCCACCGCGACAGCCAGCGAAUCAAAUCGACCCGGAACCGGCAGUCCAAAGGCGUUAACACAUCUCCCUCACAUCCCUCUCCGUGGUACGAUUUGAGCAGAGAAAAGCAGCACGCGCUCCGUCCUCCUUUCCCCUUUCGGAAUGAGUCAAGACUUCAAGGGAAAGGGUGUUUGUCCGAAAUGGUGAAAGUUUGGAGUUUGAAUUUCGAAUUUGGGGCCCUUGUUUCUACCCGGUUUUGGUCCUUUUCCCCCCAUUUCCGAACCCGAUUUUUCCUUCUAUAUAGGUUGUUUUGUUGUUCACGAAAGAGGGGAUAUUUUUUGGAGUUGAAAAUUUUUGUGUCAAGGAAAUAUUGAAAAAAGUUUAGAAGAAAAACAGAGAAAAAAGGCUAGACGAAAAUGGGGAAAAUUGAAAGAAAAAAUUGAAAAGGUUUGGGAAAAAUGGUCAAAAGAUAUAUAGAAAGGGGAAUAGAAAUAUAGUUUACACCAUAGUUUAUUUCGAGUAUAGCAAAUAGGCACGAAGGAGUUUCUAGCUUGUUCAUCGUUAGCCGGAGCUUGUCGUAGUUCCGUCAUUGGUAGAAGUCGUUGCUCCUCCGCUUGUUGGUUCUAGUCGCUGCCCGCCAAAAGUCUCUUGGACUCUUACUUCUCGUAGUUGCAUUUCAAGUUGGGCCAUGAAGGCCCAAAAUCCUUUCUUUUCAAGUCCAUCUUUAUCAGAUUGAUAUGCCAGACACCGGCGAACAGGUCAUUUUGGAAGCUGAACAUGUCCUCGAAAGUCAACGCAUUGGGACCAUAGCUGAUACAUAAUGAUAUACAGCAAUAUACACCAAGUGUAUAUGCUGUAUAUAUGGCAGAAUGGGGCCCAAAAGCCCAUCUCUUUAUCUUAAUUUGUAUUUUGUUAUUUUGGGCCUAAGCCUUUAUCAUUCCGAUUAUUAUUAUUCUGUUAGUUCUCAGGACAGGUAAAAGAAUUGGGCCUAAGGCCCAAAGAUAAAAUAUAUUUCUUUAUAUUAGACUAGGACAGGUGCGGGUGACUCAAGUAGGCCAAAGGGCCCAAAACGAAAAUAGGCCCAAGUAUUGGUCCAGGCGGACAGAAAAACCAAACUUGGGCCCAGACCUCUUUCCCUCUUUGUUUUAUUAUGUUUACUUAUUUAUUAGUAUUUGUCGUUAAUCUUAGGGUCGAAAAGUUCAAAUCCCCGAGAGACGCUCAUUUCGUUUUAACAAUGUAACUAAACUGGUCAUCUCUUAACAAGACUUAAACAAACAAUUUUGUAAGAUAGUCCACUUAGAUAAUAUUUAAAUAUUUCCCUUUUUUCCCCUUUAAAAUAGUUCUAAUUACAAAACAAAUCAAUUUUGCAAUUUAAGUUAAAGUUAAAUCUUUUCAGCCGAGUAAAUUAAUUGUCGGAUAACCGCAUUAGCGGAUAUUCUAGGUGCCUUAAAAACCUUCCUAGAAUAUUAAUAAGAACCCCCGAACCCCCUUAAGUAUUUUCAAUUGAUGCCCUGUUUUAAUCUAUUGAAAAACAAUUUUCUUGAUUUUUCUUAAAAAUUAAGUGGCGACUCUUAAACCAGUCAAAUAAUAUUUUCCUAAUGAAACAGAAUGGCGACUUCCACUGGGAAUUUGAAUGGUUCUAACCUUAAGAUUCAUUUAUUUGUCUAUGUGAUUUAACUGUCUACUUGUUUUAUUUAUCGUAUAUAUUGAACUGUUGCAUUCAUGGCAUGACAUAUUUCGUCAAAUGAUAAUUAUUUUAAUUUCCAUCUAAAGGACGAUUAUGCGGGCCGUAGUCGUUCGUUAACCAAAUUAUUCUCGGGGCACCCUGACGAAUGUAGUUGGCUACUGGAUAGUCAACGGUCGUUAACUGUCCCAGCCCAAGUUGUCCGUUUGGGUCACCUAUCCAUUAUAAACGAAGCCCACUCUUAGUCAAGACUAGCGUAGAGCCAAACUCAGCUAGCGCAUCAAACUAAGAUGACCCAACACCCAAGGUGUGUUAGGCCCAUUAGAGAGACCACCUUGAGUUCAAAACGGCCCACGGCCUAAAUGAACGAUCAUAUUUAUGUGUUUAAAUUUGAAAGAUGUAUACGUUGUUUGACAAACCAUUGUCUCUUAGGGUAGAGAGCUUAAUAAUUUGUUCGAGUCGAAGAAGGAUCAAAUUACUAGUCCAUCCAAAGGCAUUGACACUCGGAGAUGACAAGAAAUCAAUAAAGAAGAGGGACCUCACAUGGAAGAAUAGUUUAGGAUUGUACCCCUCUGUGGGAUUAAUUAUUUGUAUCCCUUUUCCCUAUUAUGUAUCCUCAUUUAGUUUAUUUAUAAAACUUGUAUAAUUUUGGGUUUUAGGGGGCAAUGGAAUGUUUCAAAUGACAUAUACAUCCUUCAAAUCGUUAGGCCUACCCUUGGCAUAAAAGGGUCACAUAUCUGUUUAAAAAUGCAUAAUAUUUGUUUGUGUGCUAUGUGAUUAACUGUUUGUGUGAAUAUGUUGCUUCAUUUGGAGAUAUUCUAGCUUACUCUUCUUCGAAUUAUUUUUAGAACCCCUAAGCACAAAUAUCAAGUCACUAUCAAAAGUGCGUCCAAAUACUCUUCGAGUUUUUAGUUUCCUAACAAAAUUUGAACUUCACUUUCAAAUUCAUACUCUUAUAUCUCAGAAAAGGUCGAUUUACUCAAGUCAAAAAGAAAGGUCGAACUACGUAGGACCUGAAUUCUCUUUUGUGAGAUACGUAGGCAGCCUUUCAAGGUUCGGUCCCCAUUUUUGAGAAAUUCUAUAUUUCCAACUCUUACAAAGAAAUUAGAGUUACAUCUCAAUCGAAAAGCAAAGUAUGACAAUGAAAUAUACAAUAGAUUUUGUCUCGACUCAAGUCGACAUUCAGGUCCAUUAAGCUCAAAAAUCAAAUAGUCAAAUUUUCGUCUAUUUAGUCAUUUAUUUAUGUGGGCUAGUUUAUCUUCAAAUGAAACAACUUUUAUGUGUUUACAAUAAUGUGUGUGAUAUUUUGUAUUAUUUAUCAUCGACACAGACUAACACAUUUGCCUUUGAGUUGUUUUUCUUUGUCAGGUACUUAAAACUGAUCUGUGUUGAGAAAAAUGGCUGGACAUCCGUACUUCACAAGGUCCAAAGACCCCAAAGAUUUCUUCUACGACCAAUGUUUGUCAAAAGGCAAAGAAAAAGUAGUUGAAAAUGUUGAGAAUACAAAUUUGACCGAAAUUACUGUGAAUGACCUCAUCAUUGUCGAACAUAACAAGUUGAUUGCACAAUUGUUCCAACAGAUUGCUGAAAUGAGGGCGGAAAUGGAUAAGACACGAAAUUUGACGAAUCUAGCUAUUAGUGCCGACACUCCUACUCUAGACAACGGAAGACCUCCACUCCAUUUUCCUACUUCGGAUCCAACACUCAAGGAUUUUUCAAACAAUUCAUCCCCCUCUACCAUUCCAAAACCUCCCAUCAUCGACUUAACCACCCCUAACCCACAUCAUGCUAGCUCUUCACACCAAAAAUUACCCUACUCCUCCAAAUCCAAAUACCAACACUUUCCAGAAUUUUCCUCAUGUCCAUCAAACCCUUACUCAAAUUGUCGAAAACCCACCUACAACUCAACCCAUACCCUUAAAAACCGCAUUUCAUCUUCCAAUAUCGCCAGAAUCAUACCAUCCAUUUACUACACAUGUUGAACUCGAGCAUUAUGAGAAGAAUGAAAAGGAAUGGAAGGUCAUAAAGGGAAAGACUGAGCAAAGCAUCAGAGAGGAAGUUAUGGAUGCAAUGAAGAACUUUCAAUACACACCAGACAUUGCGGGGCUGAAUUAUGAAGAUUUGUGUCGUCAUCCACAUUUGGAGCUUCCAGAAGGUUUUAAAGUACCAAAAUUUGACACUUAUAGUGGAGUUGAAAAUCCUUUUACUCAUUUGAGGUCUUAUUGUGAUCAACUUAUUGGAGUAGGGAGAGAUGAAGCUUUGCUAAUGCGACUCUUUAGUCGUAGCCUGAAAGGAGAAGCCUUGGAAUGGUUUAUUUCUAAAGAAAUCAAGCAGUGGCCAAGUUGGAACGCUUUGGCUACUGAUAGUAGAGGUUCUUCAGUUUCCAUUUACUGUGUCUUCAACAGUAUUCCUUUUUCCUGGUUAAUUUUCGGGGGACAGAUUGAAACAUUUUGCUUCAGUGGUGACUGUGGUUGCGCGAAGCUUGAAAGUUCAAGGUAAGUUAGUUAUAUGUUCAUGCUGUAGACAGUAAAACUUUUAUGAAUAUAUGACACACUUGUCGUUACUUUCACUUCACAGGAUAAUUUCUCUGCUCAUUAAAACUUCCGUGAAUGAAGGACUUCAACAAAGAUAGUUGUCACAAAUCUUAUAGCAAAGAGUUCUCCCAUUAGCUCUUAAAAUGUCCUAAGCAGUAUCUGUUCAUCUUAACAGGUUUUGCUUUCUCCUUUUUUUAGUGGUUACUUAUAAUGAUCUGCUUCUCCAUCCUCCCAAUUAGGAAACGUGUGCCAAACUAACUUUUUACCAUUUCCUGUGUUUCAGAUUCAUGUUUGAAACACUAGCAUGUUACUUGUGUUGGAUGUGUUUCAGUGUCAUCAUUGGCAAGGGAAAUUGCACUCCGUAAGCUCAUUUGCAUUUGGCUGAAUCUGGAUUGGAGAUAUUACUUCCCUGUAUGUGGAGAUCCCGGAAAAGGGUCACGAGUGAUUGUCAAUUGAGCUUUUCGCGUAUACUGAAAUGAGAGUCCAAUGGUCCAGUCGGAACACCCAGCCCACAGCUCCUGAAAUUCUAAACUGAAUUAACCUGGCAGUGUUGAAUAGCAUUCAAAGUAGAAAGAGCAACUUAUGCCAGUUACUUUGCUACAUUUCUCUACCAUGGUUGUAUGUUGUGUAUAGAGCAACUUGUGUCUUGCAAUUUUAUUUUAUUGUUUUGAUGUCAGAAAUACUUUCAGCAAGACAAUAUUACAUGGUGUUAGGGUUACAACGUAACUUGUUAUCCAAAUCGACAAAUAAAUAAUUUUAUAAUACUUAUUAAGUUUGACUUCAAGUAAGAAUAUAACUAGUUUAAUGAAAUAUUAACCAAAUUGUUUCCCAAUGAUCACAAUGAAGCACAAAAGAUAUGUGUGAUUCAAUCAUUACGGCUCUUUAGGAUGUUUUGAUAUCGUGUAUAUGAAUCAUGGUUUGCUCAUUUGNNNNNNNNNNNNNNNNNNNNNNNNNNNNNNNNNNNNNNNNNNNNNNNNNNNNNNNNNNNNNNNNNNNNNNNNNNNNNNNNNNNNNNNNNNNNNNNNNNNNNNNNNNNNNNNNNNNNNNNNNNNNNNNNNNNNNNNNNNNNNNNNNNNNNNNNNNNNNNNNNNNNNNNNNNNNNNNNNNNNNNNNNNNNNNNNNNNNNNNNNNNNNNNNNNNNNNNNNNNNNNNNNNNNNNNNNNNNNNNNNNNNNNNNNNNNNNNNNNNNNNNNNNNNNNNNNNNNNNNNNNNNNNNNNNNNNNNNNNNNNNNNNNNNNNNNNNNNNNNNNNNNNNNNNNNNNNNNNNNNNNNNNNNNNNNNNNNNNNNNNNNNNNNNNNNNNNNNNNNNNNNNNNNNNNNNNNNNNNNNNNNNNNNNNNNNNNNNNNNNNNNNNNNNNNNNNNNNNNNNNNNNNNNNNNNNNNNNNNNNNNNNNNNNNNNNNNNNNNNNNNNNNNNNNNNNNNNNNNNNNNNNNNNNNNNNNNNNNNNNNNNNNNNNNNNNNNNNNNNNNNNNNNNNNNNNNNNNNNNNNNNNNNNNNNNNNNNNNNNNNNNNNNNNNNNNNNNNNNNNNNNNNNNNNNNNNNNNNNNNNNNNNNNNNNNNNNNNNNNNNNNNNNNNNNNNNNNNNNNNNNNNNNNNNNNNNNNNNNNNNNNNNNNNNNNNNNNNNNNNNNNNNNNNNNNNNNNNNNNNNNNNNNNNNNNNNNNNNNNNNNNNNNNNNNNNNNNNNNNNNNNNNNNNNNNNNNNNNNNNNNNNNNNNNNNNNNNNNNNNNNNNNNNNNNNNNNNNNNNNNNNNNNNNNNNNNNNNNNNNNNNNNNNNNNNNNNNNNNNNNNNNNNNNNNNNNNNNNNNNNNNAAAAAAAAUGAGAAAAUAUCUAUGCUUUAUGUUUUGUUGCUUUGUAUACGUUAGCCUAGCAUGUGGUAUUUUAGAAUCCUCAUUUGAAUAUUGUAUUUGUACAAUAGUUAGUUAAUUUUACUUUAUGCACUUAUAUAUUCUUUUUAUUAGGAAAAUCUAUGUACUUUCUAUUGUAAAAAUGAUGAUUUUUUUAGUAAAUAUCAAUAGAUUUGAAGGACAUAAAAUAUGUUAUUUGCAAUCAAAAUUUAUAUGAAGUAUUUUGGGAUAAACUAGAACUAGUUAUUCGAUAAAGUGGUGCACUUUUAAUCCCAACCCAAAUUUCCGUUAGGUUUUUUACCAGACAAAAGGUUCAAAAUGUGUCUCCUUAUUGAAUUUGUGGAAGAUAAGGUUAGUGCUAAAUCCUUUAGAUAAGGUAAGUGAUUAGUAUGUAAUUGCAGGGGAAAUGUUUAAGUUUUUCAUAGAGUUAAAUGGCUAAAAACACACCUCAAUCCUGUGUGUUUUCGCGAGUUAGAUAAUAAAACUAUCACAAUCUUUGUAUUAAAACACACCUCAAGUACUAAUUGGAAAGUGACCAUAGGAAGAAAACAUCUCAUUUAAUCUUGCAGCACUCCAUAACUUGAUCCAUAUCACGGGAACGUAACAACUUGGUAUCAUAGACAGGAGUUAUAAGAAAACAUCUGAUUUCAUCUGAUUUUCUUCUGUCUAAUUUGAUGACUUAUGAGUAAAUCUGAGACGAUGACCUUUGAUAAUGUCUGUGCCACUCAACUAUGCUCUAUCCAGAUGAUGUUCUCAAAAUUUUCAACAAUUUAGUAAUUUAAGUGCAUAUAGCUUAAGGAUAAAAAAACUGGUCAGUUACAAUUUUUUCUUAUUUAUGCUUUCAGGUAACUGGAAACAGUCCUCUGAUUUUAUCCGUGAACUAGCAAAAGAAGACGACUUUGUGAAGGAGCAAAAAUAACAAUGGCCGAUCCAGUAAUUGGUGCUACUGUUCAAGUUGUGCUUGAGAAGCUGCUUUCUCUCACUAUUGAGGAGGCCAAAACUUUAAGGAACUGCAAGAAAAAUCUCAGAAUGCUCACAAAAUAUGUAUCCAUCAUCCAAGCUUUCAUUCAUGAUGCUGAAAGACGACAAGUCGAAGAUCAGGCUGUGGAAGAAUGGCUCAAGAUGCUUGAGAGAGUUGCUGAAGAUGCUGAAAAUGUGUUUGACAAAUUCACAUAUGAAUCUCUCAAAGCACAAGUGAUGAAAAACCGAGCCAAACUACUGGAAAAAGUUCAUAGCUUCUUUUCUAAUACUGCUUUUAAGUACAAAAUGUCUCGAAAAAUCAACAACAUCAAUGAAGAGUUGAGGGCUAUCAAUCAGUUAGCCAAUGACCUCGGUCUCCAAUCACUGACUGUUCCUUCUCGCAAAAUACUACAAAUCAGAGAAACAGAUUCCUUAGGAGUUGCUUCGGAUGUUGUUGGUAGAGACAAAGAUGUUGCUGAAAUAAAGGAGAAGAUGUUGAACAUGAGAGAGGAAGUUGUUCGGUGUGCCAUUCCCAUAGUGGGCAUGGGGGGUUUAGAGAAAACUACCAAAACAACUUUGGCCAAGAGAAUUUUCAAUGAUGAACAGAUCGAGAAGCACUUUGAAAAGAGAGUAUGGUUAUGUCUACCUGAAAUGUCAGAAAUUAAGAGCUUUCUUGAACUGAUCCUCGAAGCAUUGACUGAGAGGAAACUUGAGGUCCAGAGUAGAGAUAUUAUAGUCAAGAAGGUCCGAGAUGAACUGGCAGGAAGAAAGUAUUUGAUUGUCCUGGAUGAUUUGUGGCGUGUUGACCCAACAUUGUGGGAUGAGUUUGUGGACACCUUGAGAGGAAUAAAUACAUCCCGAGGAAACUUCAUUCUUGUGACUACUCGUAUGGAAUUGGUGGCAUCCACUGUAGUAGCAGCAGUAGGUCCUCAUAUGUUGGAAAAAUUAGAAAAAGAUCACUGUUGGUCGAUUUUCAAACAAAGAGCAUUUGUUGAUGGGGAAGUUCCGGAGGAAAUACUGAGUGUGGAGAACAGGAUUGCUGAAAUGUGUCAAGGUCUACCGUUGGCUGCAAGUGUUUUGGGAGGCCUCUUGCGCAACAAGGAGAAGCAUGAAUGGCAGGCAAUUCUUGAUGGAAACCCCCUUGUUGCAGGUGAAAAUAGCUUAAAGAAAAUCCUAAAACUCAGCUAUGUUCAUCUACCAUCUCCAUAUCUAAAAAAAUGUUUUGCUUACUUUGCAAUGUUUCCAAAAGAUUUUAAGUUUGAAAAGAACCAACUAGUCCAACUCUGGAUGGCAGAAGGGUUUCUUCGUCCAAGUCAAGAGAUUCCUGUUAUGGAAGACGUAGGGAACAAGUUUUUUCAACUUUUGUUGCAAUAUUCCUUGCUGCAAGAUGUUGAGCUAGAUGAGCACAACAAUAUAACACACUGUAAGAUGCAUGAUCUUGUGCAUGAUUUGGCUGGAGAUACAUUAAAAUCUAAACUAUUUGAUACGAAAAGUGUUGGAGGUGAAAAUCUUUCUCAAGUUCGAUACAUUGGAUGGGACUCACCAAGUGAUCAAAUGGAUACGAUAAAUGAGGCAGGACGUUUGUGCACAUUGUUCUGGAAAAGCAAUAUAUCUGAUGAUAUGCUAUUGAGCUUUCAGUUCUUGAGACUUUUAAAUUUGUCUGGAUCAGGCAUCAAGGAGUUGUCAGCCAAAAUCAGCAAGCUAAUAUACUUGAGAUAUCUUGAUCUCUCCAACACUCAGAUCAAAGACUUUCCCAACUCCAUUUGCAAGCUCUACAAUUUGCAAACGUUUAGAGUCAAUGACUGUUCUUCACUCAGGAAGCUUCCAAAAGAAUUGGCAAAAAUGAUAAGUUUGAGACACGUAUAUUACAAACCAUCAAUUUAUGAUCAGUUUCAGAUGCCACUUAAUAUGGGGCAAUUGACCAGUCUUCAGACGCUACAGUUUUUCUACGUAGGCUUAGAGAAAGGUCGUCGAAUUGAAGAAUUAGGUCGUUUGAAAAACCUUAGAGGUGAAUUGUCGAUCAGAUGUCUCCAAUUAGUCAGAAAUAAAGAAGAUGCUCAAACAGCAUAUUUAAAGGAGAAACCAAAUAUCUACAAUCUAGCAUAUUUAUGGUUCCAUGAUGAAUCAGAAGGCUGUGAGAUCAAUGAUGAGCAUGUGUUGGAUGGUCUUCAACCGCAUCCUAACUUGAAAGCCUUAUCAGUAGUGGACUAUUUAGGGACUAAAUUUCCUUCAUGGUUCAGUGAAGAGUUGCUACCAAAUUUGGUCAAGUUGAAACUAAGUGGUUGCAAAAGGUGCAAAGAAAUUCCAUCCCUUGGCCAACUGAAAUUCCUUCGGCAUCUUGAGCUGGAAGGAUUCCAUGAGUUGGAAUGCAUUGGACCUGAUUUAUAUGGUGUUGAGAUUAGCAAUAAUGGAUCAAGCAGCAUUAUCCAAGUGUUCCCGUCAUUGAAAGAACUAGUAUUAGAGAAUAUGCGCAGCCUUAUUGAGUGGAAGGGAGAUGAAGUUGGUGUUAGAAUGUUUCCUAGGCUUGAGAAGUUGACGAUUACAGACUGUUCACUGUUAAAAAGUACUCCAAGUCAAUUUGAAAUCCUGCGUGAAUUAAGAAUUGAAUUAGUUGACAGUGAAAUGCCAUUGUUGAACUUGUACAGCAACUUGACAUCUCUUGUGGAUCUUUCUGUUAGGAAUGUGCAAGAGCUCACUUGUCUUCCAGAUGAGAUUCUACGCAACAACGUUUCUCUUCAAUACCUAUCAGUCUCAUACUGCGGAGAGUUUCGUGAAUUGCCACAAAGCUUGUACAAUCUCCAUUCUCUUAAGAGAUUAAUGAUUGCCAACUGCACCAAUUUCAGUUCUUUUCCUGUUCCCUGUGGAGAGAACUAUUUGACUAACCUCCGAAGGUUGGAUUUAUUCAAUUGUAAUGGAUUGACCAGCUUACCAAGUGGAAUUCUAGAGCAUUGUCGGUCUCUGAUAGUUUUUAAUGUCUGCAAUUGUAAGAACUUAGUUUCAUUGCCUUUACACGUGUGGGAAAUGCCUUCACUUUCCUAUUUGGAUUUAUCAGAUUGUCCCAAAUUGAUUAGUGUACCCGCAGGAGGCCUUCACUGUCUCACCGGGUUAAGGAGAUUGGAAAUUGGUCCUUUCUCAGAGAUGGUGAAUUUUGAGGCAUUCCAAUUGAUUUUUAAUGGCAUUCAGCAGUUGUUGUCCCUUCGUAGAUUGGGUGUGUGGGGACGUGGGCACUGGGAUUCUCUGCCCUAUCAGCUUAUGCAACUCUCUGCCCUAACAGAGAUCAAAAUAUGCAAUUUCGGAAUGGAGGCUCUUCCUCAUAGAUUUGACAACCUUACUUCUCUUGAAACAUUACAAGUAGAGGAGUGCGAGCGGCUAUGGCAUUUGGACUUCUCAGAUUCCAUGUCAAAAUUACGGCAUCUCAGGAUAUAUGCUUGUCCAUUGUUAGAAGCUCUGUCAGAUGGGCUCGGCAACAUUGUUUCUUUGGAAAAAUUAGUUUUACAUCACUGCCAAAAACUAAAACAUCUGCCAUCCAGAGAUGCCAUGCAACGCCUCACCAAAUUACUGUACCUGGAAAUUGGAAGCUGCCCACAGUUAGAAGAAAGUUGCACCAAUCGGAGUAGCCCAAACUCCCAGUGGUCCAACAUUUCCCAUAUUCCAGAAAUUCAAGUAGGCGGGACGAUGAUUCAGGAUACACGUAUGUCUCUGUUUCUCUUUCACUUUCUUAGUCGAUUUUUCAAAUAUUAUUUUCAUGAGUUCCACACAAAAAGCUUUGUAUGUAAUUUAAUAUUAAAAAUGCAAAAUUAAAUCAAUCAUUUGCAUAUGUGAUAUACUUUCAGCAUUCUGCUUGUCCACUUGAACGACUUGUUUUUCUUUUAAUUCUUCAAGUAUGGUAUAUCUUGAUAAUACUUAGGGUGUGUUUGGUAUGAAGGAAAAUGUUUUCCUGGAAAACAAGUUGAUUUUUGACUUAUUUUCUCAUUUUUGGUUGGUGAGUAGAAAAUAGUUUCCGAAAAAGAUUUUUAGUAUUUGAUUUAUGAAUGAUUUUUUUUUUGAGAAAUAUCUUUUAUUUUUACUAGGGUAGAAAAUAAUUUUUGAAAUUGAAAAUAUUUUUUAAAAACAAACUUAAUUUUUUUUGGGGUGGGGUGGUAGGGGUGGGUNNNNNNNNNNNNNNNNNNNNNNNNNNNNNNNNNNNNNNNNNNNNNNNNNNNNNNNNNNNNNNNNNNNNNNNNNNNNNNNNNNNNNNNNNNNNNNNNNNNNNNNNNNNNNNNNNNNNNNNNNNNNNNNNNNNNNNNNNNNNNNNNNNNNNNNNNNNNNNNNNNNNNNNNNNNNNNNNNNNNNNNNNNNNNNNNNNNNNNNNNNNNNNNNNNNNNNNNNNNNNNNNNNNNNNNNNNNNNNNNNNNNNNNNNNNNNNNNNNNNNNNNNNNNNNNNNNNNNNNNNNNNNNNNNNNNNNNNNNNNNNNNNNNNNNNNNNNGGGUUGGUUGGGGGGCUGGUUUGAGGGUAGGGACAAAAUAAAUUGAUUUUUUCAACAAUUUUUUUUUUAAUUGGAAGUUGGAAGAGAGUUUUGGAAAAUGUUUUCCUUAAGUUUUGAAGAGAAGUCAUUUUCCUUAAAUUUGAGGAAAAUGAGUUGAUUUGAAAAACAUUUUCCAAAAAUUUAACCCAAUCAAACAUGAGAAAAUUGGAAAACAUUUUCCGAAAAAUGUUUUCCUUCAUACCAAACACACCCUUAAUCAUGAAAUUUAUGUUUUUUUUUUCCUUCUAGGUUACUAGUUCCAAGGUCAUGCUAGAACAUCGAUGUGGUAAAUUAAGCCAAAUCCCAUGAGCAGCAGGCAAUUACGUUAGGUAAAUUUUCAUUUACAAUUUAUAGGCACUUUGUAAUCUACUAAUUUCUAUCCUUCUUUUUGUUGGGAACUGAUUUUCGGAGGUCUGUGCUGAUGAAUACAACACUACCUUCCUAAAAAAAAAAAAAAAAGAAGUUUAAUCAAGAAAAUUUAUGUUGCUGCUCAUAGGUUACUAGGUACAAGGUCAUGGUAGAACUUCCUUGUGGUAUAUCAAGUCAAAAUCCACGGGCAGUAAUCACAUUAGGUAUUUUUAUUUAGUUGUUAAAGGACUGCUAUAAAAAGUCUGUCAAGUUCUUUUUUGCAUUCCUUUUCUCUCACGAAACAAUUUUACUGUUUAAACGGGGUUUGUUAUGUUUCAUAGAGGCUCAUGGGGUACAAACGGCUACAAAUUACUGUACCUGGAAACUGAAGGCUGCCCAGAGUUAGAAGAAAGUUGCACCAAUCGGAGUAGCUCAAACUCCCACUAGUCCAACAUUUCCCGUGUUCCAAAUAUUGAAGUAGAUGGGAGGAAAAUUCAGAACUUAUGUAAGUCUCUGUUUCUUCUUCUAAUUUUUAAAUUUUCAUAUCUUGAUAUGAAAAUUUAUGUGUUUUUUUAUAGGUUACUAGUUCCACGGUCAUGCUAGAACGUCUCUGUGGUAAAUUAAGCCUCAUCCCAUGAGCGGCAGGCAAUUAUGUCAGAUAAAUUUUCAUAUAGGAUUUAUAGGCACUUUGUAAUCUUCUAAAUUUUGUGUCUUCCUUUUUGUUGGGAACAAAUUUUUGGAGGUCUAUGCUGAUGAAUACAACAUGAAAAUUUAUGUUGAUGCUCAUACAUUACUAGGUACAAGGUCAUGGAAGAACUUCAUUGUGGUUUAUCAAGUCAAAAUCCAUGGGCAGCAAUCACAUUAGGUAUCUUUAUUAGUUGUUAGAGGAAUGCUAUAACAAGUUUGUCAGCUUCAUUCCUUUUCUCUCAUGAUACAUUUUUACUGUUUAACCAGGUUUGUUAUGUUUCACAGAGGAACCACCACUUUUAUUUUGUUUGAAGAACAGAAUCUUCAGCUGUAGACUCAUUACGAAACACUUUCAUGAGUAUUUGGGUACUGAACAUCUUUUCGGGAAACUGUAGUCUACAUAUGAAACAUCAAAAAACUCAAAGCAUAUAGGGUGCUCAAUGUGAAGCUACACACGUCUAUCCUCUGUCUUUGCAUGAACCUAUUUGCCUUUUUAUUCUCCAUGUAAGUUUCUGCAAUUUUAUUUGACGAAUAAAGUCUGAUAUCUACUUUCAUAGGGACUUUGUAUUUAACUUUCUAUGAAAUUGUGAACUGUUAGAAUGUAACCUGUUUUAUUCCCUUUUACUUUCAAUGAUUUACUAUCUCACAGUAUUAAUGUCUGUGCCUCCCCUCUCCCAUCCGGUACGAAAUAAGAAGAAUCUUAGUAUUUGUCAUAUCUAGUCAGGUGAUAUGAUGAAGAUAAUGGAAGUAAUGGAUGGUCGGUGUGUUAUGAAUGGGCCUAGACCAGUAUUGACAAAGCAGCCCAAAGCCGAAUUAAAAGGGCUAUGUGUGGGAUCCGGGUUGAUAAAUAGAGACUUGGGAGAGCAAAAUAGUUUUAUGCAAAUUAUGUGAAGCUUUGGCUUUCUGAUCCUCUCAUCUCCUUUCUAUGGUCUAGAAUCUCAUCCCCUUCUAGUUACCCUCUUCUAUGUUAUCUAUCUAUAAUUAGUGUGUUGUUACUUUGUUGUGGGUAUUAUACAUUGUAACUUGUAUUCCGUAAUAACAAUAUAUAUAUCAGUGUUUGUGUUGAAAAUUGAGUUUGUUACAUUGGUGCUUUCAUCCAGAGGUUUCUCAUGGAGGACCAAAGACUCAAGGCUCUCAUCAAUGAAUCCAUUAAGGAGGCAAAAGAGUCAUUUUCCAAAGAUAUUGCAGACAUUCGCCAUAUGUUACAGGAGGUUACCCGAAAGUUCGUUCCGGCAGGGCCUCACAUUCGAGAUCCAACAAUGGAGGUUGCUCGUCCUCAUCACGGGAAAGGCACUCUUGAAUCCCCCACACUCCGUCAUAGGCCAGCUCCGGUGGAACUAGGACGAUUUCGUGGUGAAAAUCCAGAGGCGUGGAUUUUCCAAGCUGAAUGCUAUUUUGAUUUUUACGGAAUCGUAGAAACGCACAAGCUAACCUUGGCAUCCUUUUAUCUCAACGGUGAAGCUUUGGAAUGGUAUCAAUGGUUGUUUUGCAACAAACAACUGGCUGGCUGGGACCAUUUUGUGGACAAAUUGCUGAUUCGUUUUCGCUCCCGUACUAGGGACAAACAACGCGAGUUCUUACCCAUUCCCAGAAACAAGAAUCAUAGGGCAGUGGAGUACUCUCAGGCGGUUAGUCCAUCGUUGGUUAAUAUUGAGACUUUGGGUCCCAUGUUGGACUCCAAAUAUGACUUGAAGAACAACCCAAACGGCUAUGCCUGCAAGGUGUUCGCUGAAAUGCCCGAUAAGAAAAUUGACAUGGAAGUUGAACAUCCAGUGAUAACUGAUUCAACAAAUCUGGCAUCCCAUAUGUUUGAUGAAAAUUUUCAAACAGUUUCUGCAUUUUAAGGGAGAGUACGGUGAGCUUAUCAUGUUUGAUAAUAAUUGUCUUGCACUACCUUGUUUGCCUUCGAUUUUUAGUCGCACCCAACUUAUGGGAAGAUCUAUAUUUGAUUACUUCAAGGAAUUCGGUCAUGCUAACCUCCCAUUAUCGUUGUAUCAAUUUCCACUUGAUCAUUUCGGGUUCAGCUUUCCAUUUGAUCCUGGUUCUAGUUUGAAAGUUGGAGUCGCGCUGUGAUAAUUUGGAGCAAUGUACUGCUCAUCGGUAAAGUUGCAAGAGAACUGCCUACACCUGCUUCUAACUUGCUGAUGUUAGUAUGUAUAGCUUCCUUAAUAGCUCCAAUGAGAAUCCUCACAAUGAUAUCAAAUUGGUACUACUUGAACCUUGAGGACAAGGUUCUUAUUGGGGCUGAAGGUAUUGUUAUGAAUGGGCCUAGACCAGUAUUGACAAAGCAGCCCAAAGCCGAAUUAAAAGGGCUAUGUGUGGGAUCCGGGUUGAUAAAUAGAGACUUGGGAGAGCAAAAUAGUUUUAUGCAAAUUAUGUGAAGCUUUGGCUUUCUGAUCCUCUCAUCUCCUUUCUAUGGUCUAGAAUCUCAUCCCCUUCUAGUUACCCUCUUCUAUGUUAUCUAUCUAUAAUUAGUGUGUUGUUACUUUGUUGUGGGUAUUAUACAUUGUAACUUGUAUUCCGUAAUAACAAUAUAUAUAUCAGUGUUUGUGUUGAAAAUUGAGUUUGUUACACGGUGCCAUUGAAAUCUGCUUAAUGCUUAUGAGGUAUUCAUGAGCCGGUGACUGUGGUUGCAUCUUGCACGAAGCUUGAAAGUUCAAGGUAAGUUUUUUAGAUCAAUACUUUUUUCUCCCAAAUGCUACUUUUGAAUCAUCAUACUUAUCUAUGGAACAAUGUCAAGUCUUAUAUAUGGUAGAAAUCUAUAUAAGUUUCUUAAUAGACUCAUAAAAAACUAUCUUUAUUUUCAUGCUUUAUCAGUAGAAACUUUAUGGAUAUUUGACACACUUCUCGUUACUUUCACUUCACAGGAUAAUUUCUCCGUUGAUAUUGGAAAGUGAAUUGGAAAUAUUAUUUCCCUGUAUGUGGAAGAUCCGAAAAGGAUUCAUGAAUGAUUAAGUUUGUUGCACAUGAAUCAUGAUAAUCAGUAGAGGCUUUUUGCGUAUGUUGAAUUAAUCAUUAAAGGUCACAGACAUGAAUAAGAUUUGCGAAAAUGCAGUCUAGGAAAUGAAGUUUUUACUCAUGUUAGAUUUAAGCAGUAUAUCUUAUGAAAGAUUGAGUAUUAUUUAUUUGUCUUUUCCACUGUAUCACAAAGAAAAGAGAGGUUAAGUGAUCGAAUAACCCUUUUAUAAUUAAUGAUAAUUAUAUUAUUUUAAAUAAAAAAUUUGAUCCAAUAAAUAUUUUAUCUAAUUUUCUCAAAAAAAAAAAAAAAGAGUCCAGUGGAAUACUUGUCUUUGAUAGAAUGUGACACAUUAGGAAAUCCAGCCAAACUUGGUCAAAAUUGUGUAUUAUUGCCGGAAAACAGAACUGAAAAAUAGUAUUUUCUCCGUCCUUGAUUUAUACAUUGUCGUGUUUUAUAAUUUUUUUGAAAUAACAUAAAGAUUUCAUGUCUAAAUUUAUAGUUAAAAUAAAAAUAUUUGAUUCUCAAAAUUCAAAUAACGAGAAAGAGGGAGUACUAAGAAAAACAUGUCCACAGAACAAUGUGUUUGAUUCCUUCAAAUAAGUACUACUAUUCCUUCAUGGGAUUUUUUUUAAAGUUCGAAAUAAAAAGAAUUUACUAAAUUUAGACAAGUCAUUGAAUAAUAAAUGAGCGGGACAUUAACUAAAGAUUUCUUUAAUUAAGAUGAGUUAAACAAUUAGCCUUAGUCCACCUCGCAUUAAACUCUUACCAACUUUUUAUGGUUGUUUGCUUUCUUAGUGAUUGUCUUUAUCAAAUAAAAGUAUAAAAUCGGUUUAAUUUUUUUUUAUCACGACUAUCCAUAGCAUAUGAAGUAAAAAAAUAAUAAUUUAAAAAUCAAUAAUAUUUCUUAUUAAUUUGGGUACCAUAUUUCAAUAAUGUUUUGACUAAGCAUAUUUAAUAUUAAAAAAUAAAGGAAAGAGAGAGGGGGAGAAAUGAUAAGUACCUGAAACUGAAGAUGGCAGAGAAGAAGACUCAAUAAAUUGUGAACAUUUUCACCGAAUGAAAUAGGAAAAAAGACUUAUUUAUAAUAAGAUGUUAGGAGCAGUAAAAAAACCUCUCUCUAUUAUAAGAUGUUAGAAUUGGUAGAAAAGAUUCAAUUUAUUAUGAGAUGUUUUUACUUUUUCAAACAAAAAAUAAUAGAAAUUUUACUAUUUAAUAUUUAAUAAAUUGGACUAAGAGUUGUUAAAUUAAAAUUAGUAUAUGUAAAAUAUUGAUUUGAAUCAUUUUAGAUUGUAAUAUUUUAUCUGAGCAAAUUAAAAAUAUUACAUUUUAAAAGUCCAAUUAGUGUAUUGUUCCUUAAUUAAAUCUAUCCCCCCCCCCCGUCCCUCCUUACCCCGCUUCCCCUUCCCUUUCUCCAUCCCCAUAAUUAAUUCUAUAUGAACAUAGAUAAUAAAUAUCAUAAUGAAUAUCAAAUAAUUUUAAUGUUUCAUAUAUAUUUCUCUUUAUUACAUUAUUUGUUGUUUAAAAUUAUAGUAUCAGUAUUGAUUUUUAUUAACUUAUCAUUUGACUUAAUAUAAUUAUCAAGCGCUCUUCUUGUAGAUAUUAAACAAAUCUGUUUAUUUUUUUUACUUGUGAGUUUUAAAUUUUAUUGUUCACAUUCCUUUAAUUCAAUAUUUAUGGAUAAUAAUAUGUAUAUUAUCUAACUAAUUUAUUAUACUCUCAAAAGUAGUUCAAAAUAUUUUUCACACACAUUUUUCGCUAACAUUAUAUAUUAGCUUUAUGCCUUUAUCUUAAAACUGUCAAGUGGCUUUUAGCUUGCCACUUGACUUAACCACAUUGCAAACUACUUUGUUAUAUGUAAAUAUAUAUAUAGAUCUAGAUGAUAAUUGUGCGCUUAAUGAUUUAUACAAACAUUCAAAGAGACUGAAACGUUGCCAGAUUAAAAAAUUAGGAAAAACUACAAAAUAUAGCAAACAUCAAUUUAUAUUAUAUGUAUAUAGCUACAAUUUAUUUUUUUAACCUAUAUGGAUAUACUUACAUAUUAAUUAGCAAACUUAAUUAACCAUGAAUUGUAAGCUUUUUUUUAAAAAAAAAUUAUAUGUAUUUAAAUAAUUAUUACUAAAUAGGAAAGAUAUCACUACAUAAAUGCAAUAUAUACGUUUUAUGGUGCUAUGUUGUCCAUACUUACCUUAUUCAACAUUUUUCUCUUUCAAUAUACAUGUAUCAACGCUUUUUUUAUUAUUUUUCCUCUAAUUUCCUUCUAAUUCAAGAUCCUUUGCAUGAUUGUAUGAACGAUUUUUGUGAUUCAUCUUCGUUGGGUAUAUUCUAAUUAAUUGCAUUUUUUUCUCCUUUAUAUGAAGUUUAUAUUUAUACACAUAUAUAUGUUUCUCGAUUUUCGUAGGGUUUUAUUUUAAGAAGUUAUUUUCACCAGCAUUCAAAUAUACAAUUAAAUUCUGUUAAAAUUCACUUUGAUACAAAUGAUGUAAUACAUUUCGUUCUCUUGAUACACGCAUAUAAUUGUAUUUGAAUGUUGAACACAAUGGAAUACAUAUACAUUUGAAUACUUGUUAUUUUUUAUGAAUUGUCCAAUUAAAAUACAAGUGCAUUUGGAUACAUAAAUACAUUACAUAAAUUUGAAUGUAUACAUAUACAACACAUCUAUUUUUUUAUUGAGUGAAAUACAUAUACAUUUGGAUAAUUAUAUUGUAGUAUAGUUCUUUGACAUUUUUUCUAGAUUGUCCAAUUAUAUUGAUAUAUUAACACAAUUGUAUUGAGCAAUCUUAGGGAUACAAUAUACUUAUCAUGAAGUUCACGUAUUUGAAAUCGAAACAAACAAGAUUCAUUCACUAUUACAAUAAAUCAAUUUAACUAAAGAAAUUUAUGUGAAAUAUAUUUAUGCUUGAACAAGAACAACAUCAAGAAAGAAAAUAUGUGUACGAUGUAUCCAAAUUUUUUUAAAACUAAUUGGAAUCCUAGAGUAUAUGCAUUGACUAGGUAAUCAAAUAUGUGAAUAAAUUGUAUUCUCUUGAUUACACACAUAUAAUUGUAUUUGAAUGUUGAACAUAGUGGAAUACAUAUACAUUUGAAUACUUGUUAUUUUUUCAUGGAUUGUCCAAUUAGAAAUACAAGUGCAUUAGGAUACAUAAAUACAUUACAUAGAUUUGAAUGUAUACGUAUACAACACAUAUUUUUUUUUUUGCAUAGAGUGAAAUACAUAUACAUUUGGCUAAUCAUAUUUGUAUUAUAGUUCAUUGUCAUUUUUUUUCUAGAUUGUCCAAUUGUAUUGAUAUAUCAACACAAUUGUAUUGAGCAAUCUUAGGGAUACAAUUAUGCUUAUUGUGUAUUUGAAACCAAAACAAACAAGAUUCAUUCACAAUUACAAUAAAUCAAUUUAACUAAAGAAAAUGUAAGUGAAAUACCUUUACGCUUGAACAAGAACAAUAGCGACAAAUGAAAAAUUUGUAUACGAUGUAUCCAAUUUUUUUAAAAAAGUAAUUGGAAUCCGAGAGUAUACACAUUGACUAUGUAAUCAUUAGUUGUUAAUGUAAUAAUGGGAAGUUGAGAAUUUCAAGCAACAUAAUUAAAGGGAUUCAGUUACCUUAUUUAAUUCACUAUAAUUCUAAUUAUAUCACUGUAUAAUUUAAAAAAAAAAAACAAAUACAGCUAGAUAUUAAUAUAAAAUGUAGUUAUUUUUAGUAAAUGAUAUACUUAUAACUAUUGAACUUCAAUAACCCUAUAAAUAUAGUCAUUUAUGUAAGUUGCUCUUAAAAUUAACUGGUCUAUUAGUUAAAUGAAGGUUUUAUAUGAAUAAUUUAAUGGGCAAAUUACAGAAAUCACAUACUUUUAAGGCAAAAUUAUAAUUUAUUCCUUAAAAGUUUAUAAUUACAGAAAUCCUUCAAACGGAUACAAUAAUAUAAGCGCUGAUACAUUAAUCUGAUGCGCGAGAUACAUUAAUCGUUAAGUAAGAUACAUUACAUUUUAUACAUGAUACACUAAUCUAAUGCGCGAGAUACGAUAAUAUAAACGCUGAUACAUUAAUCUGAUGCGCGAGAUACACUAAUCUGAUGUGCGAAAAUAAGGAAUUUUGGAGAUUUGUAAAACUUAUAGGGGAUAAUGAUAAUAAGUAAACUAAAAGUUGAAUUUUCUGUAAUUUUCCCUAAUUUAAUUGAUUCAGUUGGCAAGCUAAUAUACUUUGCAAGGGGUGGAAUAGAAGAAUUUAAAUUGAGGAGUACUCCCUCCGUUCCACAAAGAAUGACCUCCUUUCCUUUUUAGUCAGUUUCAAAAAGAAUGACCUCUUUCCUUUUUUGGUAACAUUUUACUUUUUGCUUUCCGCAUGACAUGUUUAAAACCACAAGAUUCAGGGCAAUUUUGUACAUUUGACAUAACUUUAAUUUAGGACCACAAGAUUCAAAAGUCUUCUUUAUUUACUUAAACUCCGUGCCAAGUCAAACCAGGUCAUUCUUUAUGAACGGAGGGAGUAAUAGAGAAAAUCAUAUGAAUCAGAAGACCAUGAAGCUGCCACUUUUUGCUCUGCUCGAACUCAAAACUUUAGGGUCGAUGGUGAGGGAUGCUUACAAAAUGACUGUGAGAUGAAUGAUGAGUUGAAGGGUGUAUUUGGUAUGAAGGAAAAUGUUUUCCAAUUUUCUCAUGUUUGGUUGGGUUAAAUGUUUUGGAAAAUGUUUUCCAAAUCAACUCAUUUUCCUCAAAUUUAAAGAAAAUGACUUUCCUUCAAAACUUAAGGAAAACAUUUUCCAAAACUCUCUUCCAACUUCCAAUUAAAAAAAAUUGUUGAAAAAAUCAAUUUAUUUUGUCUCUACACUCAAACCAACCCCCCAACCACCCCCCCCNNNNNNNNNNNNNNNNNNNNNNNNNNNNNNNNNNNNNNNNNNNNNNNNNNNNNNNNNNNNNNNNNNNNNNNNNNNNNNNNNNNNNNNNNNNNNNNNNNNNNNNNNNNNNNNNNNNNNNNNNNNNNNNNNNNNNNNNNNNNNNNNNNNNNNNNNNNNNNNNNNNNNNNNNNNNNNNNNNNNNNNNNNNNNNNNNNNNNNNNNNNNNNNNNNNNNNNNNNNNNNNNNNNNNNNNNNNNNNNNNNNNNNNNNNNNNNNNNNNNNNNNNNNNNNNNNNNNNNNNNNNNNNNNNNNNNNNNNNNNNNNNNNNNNNNNNNNNNNNNNNNNNNNNNNNNNNNNNNNNNNNNNNNNNNNNNNNNNNNNNNNNNNNNNNNNNNNNNNNNNNNNNNNNNNNNNNNNNNNNNNNNNNNNNNNNNNNNNNNNNNNNNNNNNNNNNNNNNNNNNNNNNNNNNNNNNNNNNNNNNNNNNNNNNNNNNNNNNNNNNNNNNNNNNNNNNNNNNNNNNNNNNNNNNNNNNNNNNNNNNNNNNNNNNNNNNNNNNNNNNNNNNNNNNNNNNNNNNNNNNNNNNNNNNNNNNNNNNNNNNNNNNNNNNNNNNNNACCCACGCCCUACCAGCCCCCCACCCCCCAAAAAAAAUUUAAGUUUUUUUUAAAAAAAUAUUUUUAACUUCAAAAUUUUAAUUUUUCACCCCUACCUUUGACCCCCACUCCCUACCAGCCCCCACCCCAAAAAAAAUUAAGUUUGUUUUUAAAAAAUAUUUUCAAUUUCAAAAAUCAUUUCUACUCUAGUAAAAUAAAAGAAUUUUUUCAAAACAUUUUUCAUUCAUAAAUCAAACACAAAAAAUCUUUUUCGAAAAAUAUUUUCUACUCACCAAUCAAACAUGAGAAAAUAAGUUAAAAAUCAACUUGUUUUCCAAGAAAACAUUUUCCUUCGUACCAAACACACCCGAAAUUGCAGAAAUUCUACAAUUUGCAAUUUUUUAGUAAUGAGAUGCUUCCCAUUGAUGGUAUUCUGCAGCUGGGAUUCUGUGCCCUAACAAUAAUUGAUUUUGGAUUCCAUGCUCUUCCUCAUACUCUUGCCAAUCUGGAAUUCUUACAUGUUAUGCCCAAAUUGCUGUGUCAUUCCAGUUGGGCAUUCAGUUUUGGACCGGUAUUAUUUUCCCUCUCCCAAUUCUCUUUCUCUCUCAUUCUCUAACCCUAGCUAAUUCUGCCAUUUAUGGAGUUGUACUAUUUCCCUAUCAUUCUAAGGCAUUGCAAUUUGAAUUUCGCACCCAAACACAUUUGUGAUUUCAGCUCUCCAGAUCAUAUGGAUUUUGUGCAAAACAGAUAAUGCAGUUUGAGAUAUUGAGCAUUUUACUUAGCAAUUGGUACAACAAGAGCCUUAAUACUGCUUAUAGAAGAGCCCUAAAAUGCUUUUUUCUUUUUGGAGGAAGUUUGGCUAAGUUUAUAACCUGGUUAAAUUGGCUUUAUUUUGACAAAGUUUUAUUAUUUUAUCCUUUUUUUAAUUCUCCGAAAAUCUUUACUAAAACAAAACGCCUUCAAAGUUACAGGAUUGUUUCUUAGAGAGAUAUUUGUGUCAUUGGAGUACUGAAUGCCACUCAUUUUUUUUUGAAUUAUUGUAUAUGAAUUUUAGUGGUCCAUAAACAACUAGCAAAAGAAGACUUUGGUGCAAAGGAAGAAGACAAAUUUGAGAAGGAGCAAACGCAACAAUUGCCGACCCUGUAAUUGGUGCUACUGUUCAGGUUGUGCUUGAGAAACUGCUUUCUCUCACCAUUGAGGAGGCCAGAAGUUUAAGGAACUGCAAGAAAAAUCUCAGAAUGCUGACAAAAUAUGUAUCCAUCGAUGCACAGGCUGUGGAACAAUGGCUCAAGAUGCUUGAGAGAAUUGCUUAAGAUGCUGAAAAUGUGUUUGACAAAUUCACAUAUGAAUCUCUCAAAGCACAAGUGAUGAGCAUCCAAAACAGCCCAAUGAGAAAGGUCAGUGGUUUCUUUUCUCAUACUGCUUUUAAGAGCAAAAUGACUCGAAAAAUAAAAAAACAUCAAUGAAGAGUUGACGUCUAUCAAUCAGUUAGCCAAAGACCUUGGUCUCCAAUCACUGAUAGUUCCGUCUCAGAAAAUAUUACCUAUUUGAGAAAUAGAUUCCUUAGUAGUUGCUUCGGAUGUCGUAGAGAUAACGAUGUUGCUGAAAUUAAGGAGAAGAUGUUGAACAUGAGAAAGGAAGUUGUUCUGUGCACCAUUCCCAUAGUGGGCAUGGGAGGUUUAGGGAAAACUAGUAUUUGCUAAGAGAAUUUUCAAUGAUGAAGAGAUAGAAAAACACUUUGAAAAGAGAGUUCGGAUGGGUCUACCUGAAAUGUCAGAGACUAAGAGCUUUCUUGAAUAGAUCCCCGAAACAUUGACAGAGAGGAAACUUGAGGUCUCUUGGUAUCACUUUUCUUCAGCCUCACAAGUUCCAACUGGAUUAUGCCAGAACAUAUACCAGAUCUUCUAAGUUGUUGGAUCAGGAGAGGGGUAGCAAGUCCCAGAAAAGAUGGCGGAGAGCAAUUCCUUUGUGUAUUUGGUGAACAAUAUGGAAGAAAAGAAAAGGGAGGUGUUUUGAGGGCAGGUCUAAUACUCUGCAAAAGAUUAAAUGGAAUUGCAUCGUAGAUUUUCACUUUUGGUGUAAACUAGCAAAUGUAGAAUAUGUUCAAUCGGUAGAUUUUUUAGGCUCUUUGUAAUUAGCCUUAGUUAAUAGUUAUAACUCGUUGUUGAUAACUUUUUGGAGGUCUCCAGCAUAUCCUUAAUGCUGAGGAAUACAAAUUACCAGUUUUCAAAAAAAUUGAUGAUAGGAGUGUUUAUUGCAUUCUCGUGAUUCUGAUUAAAUUCCACCUAGUUUCCCCCUUUCUUUUGUUGUAUUAAUGUCUGACCCUUCCUCUCUUCCAACCUGUACUAAAGAAGAAGAAACUCAAUAGUUGUUAUAUCUAUUCAGGUUGUAUCGUGAAGAUAAUAAAGGGUAUACAUGGGAGGUGCCCUUUUUCGAAUUCUGUUCAUGAGUUGCAGCUCAAAUAAAUUCUCACUGAUUAUUUUUAUGAAUUCAGUGGUGUUUUAAAUUUUUCAUAAGCAUCCCCUUUUCAUCUUUGGUGGUAACUAUUUUUGUUCACUAGCUUGAUGAAGGAUCUAAGGUGAUAGUUGGUGAAAAUGUAUUAUUCACUUGCUGUAAUAACAUGAUUUCUAAUCUCGGGGUGCUGGAACAUACAUGUUUCAAAUCGAUGAUGAGCAUGUUAUAGAUGCCACAAGGGCUGGAAGCAUUGCACAUUCAAUCAAUUGUUUUUUGAAGAACGUAAAAUCCUUCUUACCUAGUCCCUUUUCCUUUGAUGGUUUUUUUCUCUUUGGGUAAAUUGUUGUUUCCACAAUAGCACCUGCAUUACAUGAACAAAGAUGAUGUGAGGCUCAUUCUCUUGGGGUAAUGUGCUGUUUUGCGCCUGAAAACAGACUUGUGGAACUGGUCUUGUUGUUUGGAAUGGAAACUCAUCAGGCUUGUGUCUACGAGGACUGAGGAACUUGAUUUCUUAAGCAUUAUUCAAAAUCAUAAUGGAAAGUUUGCCGAAUUUUUUAGUAAUUUGGUAAUGUUUUCCUUUGUUGGUUCUAAACUGCCUUUUUUUCAACAAACAACUUCACUAUGUUAAUACAUAAUAGGUCUCAGACAAUAACAUGUAUUAGCAGGUAAUCAGAUUUAACUUUUUCAGAUUAACAUAACCCUCAUACUAUAAUUCUAUUCAGAGCGUCAGUAAUGAGAAGGGAAAUAGAUAAAUUAGCUAAACAGUUCUAAACUGCCCAAUAUAUGUCAACUAUUAAUUGGAAAGUGACUGCCAUUCAUUAGAAAUAAAAACAACACAGAACCACCACCCAAAAAUAUUUAUUUAAAGGAUGAUUAGCUAUUAUUCCACAAAAGAAUUCUUUAUUCAAAUUAUUGUCUAUGAAUUAUUCUCUUUCUUGUAGAGGCUGGCAAACAACUAUCAAAAGAAUACUUCUGCAAGAAAUUUGAGAAGAUUUUGGUGUAUAGAGGAAGAAAACAACUUUGUAAAGAGCAUUGCAAUGAUGGCCGAUCUUGUAAUUGGUGCUACUGUUAAAGUUGUGCUUGAUAAACUGCUUUCUCUCACUAUUGAGGAGGCUAAAAUUUUAAGGAACUACAAGAAAAAUCACAGAAUGCUGACAAAAUAUGUAUCCAUGAUCAAGAUCUCAUUCAUGAUGCUGAAAAACGACAAGUUGAUGAUCAGGCUGUUGAACAAUGGCUCAAGAUGCUUGAGAGAGCUGCUGAAGAUGCUGAAAACGUGUUUGAUGAAUUCAGAUAUGAAUCUCUCAAAGCACAUGUGAUGAACAUCCGAACCAAACUAAUGGAAAAGGUCAGCAACUUCUUUUCUCAUACUGCUUAUAAGUACAAAAUGUCUCGAAAAAUCAACAACAUCAAUGAAGAGUUGAGGGCUAUCAAUCAGUUAGCCAAUGACCUUGGUCUCAAAUCACUGAUGGUUCCUUCUCGGAAAAUACUUCCGAUUCGAGAAACAGAUUCCGUAGUUGUUGCUUCGGAUGUUGUUGGUAGAGACAAAGAUGUUGCUGAAAUAAAAGAGAAGAUUUUGAACAUGAGAAAUGAUGUUGUUCUGUGCACCAUUCCCAUAGUGGGUAUGGGGGGUUUAGGGAAAACAACUGUGGCUAAGAGAAUUUUCAAUGACCAACACAUCAAGCAGCAGUUCGAAAAGAGAGUUUGGUUGUGCCUACCUGAAAUGUCAGAAACUAAGAGCUUUCUUGAAUUGAUCCUCGAAUCACUGACAAAGAGGAAAGGUGAGGUCCAAAGCAGAGAUAUAAUAGUCAAGACGCUACAAGAUGCACUGGGACAAAAAAAGUAUUUGCUUGUCCUGGAUGAUUUGUGGUGUGUUGACUCUACAUCGUGGCAUGAGUUCAUGGACACCUUGAAAGGAAUCAAUACAUCCAGAGGAAUCUGCAUUCUCGUGACUACUCGUAUCAAACAAGUGGCAUCCACAAUAGCAGUAGAUCUUCAUAUGUUGGGGAAAUUAACAGACUAUCAUUGUUGGUCCAUUUUCAAACAAAGAGCGUUUGUUGGUGGGGAAGUUCUGGAGGAAAUACUGAGCAUGGAAAACAAGAUUGUUGAAAUGUGUCAAGGUCUACCGUUGGCUGCAAGUGUGUUGGGAGGCCUCUUAUUCAACAAGGAUAAACAUGACUGGCAAGCAAUUCUUGAUGGCAACCCCCUUGUUGUAGGGGAAGAUGAUCUUCGGGAAAAUAGCAUAAAGAAGAUCCUAAAACUAAGCUAUGAUUAUCUAUCAUCUCCACAUCUGAAGAAAUGUUUUGGUUACUUUGCAAUGUUUCCAAAAGAUUUUGAGUUUGAGAAGGACCAACUAAUCCAACUCUGGAUGGCUGAAGGGUUUCUUUGUCCAUGUCAAGAGACCACUGUGAUGGAAGACGUCGGGAACAAGUUUUUCCAACUCUUGUUGCAAUAUUCUUUGUCGCAAGAUGUUAAGCUAGAUGAGCUCAACAAUAUAACACUGUAAGAUGCAUGAUCUUGUGCAUGAUUUGGCUGGAGAUAUUUUAAAGUCUAAACUAUUUGAUCAAAAAAGUGUAGGAGGAGAAAAUCUUUCUCAAGUCCAAUACUUUGGAUGGGACUCACCAAGUGAUAAAAUAGAUAAGAUAAACAAGUCAGGACAUUUGUGCACAUUUUUCUGGAAAAGAAAUAUAUCUGAAGAUAUGUUGUUGAGCUUUCAGUUCUUGAGAGUUAUAAAUUUGUCCAGGUCAGGCAUUGAGGUAUUGUCAGCCAAAAUCGGCAAGCUAAUAUACUUGAGAUAUCUUGAUCUCUCCAGCACUGAGGUCAAAGACUUGCCCAACUCCGUUUGCAAGCUCUACAAUUUGCAAACAUUUAGAGCCAAUGGUUGUUCUUCACCGAGGAAGCUCCCAGAAGAAAUAGCAAAUAUGAUAAGUUUGAGACACAUACAUUACCAAUCUGAAAUUGAUUAUCAGUUUCAGAUGCCACUUAAUAUGGGGCAAUUGAUCAGUCUUCAGACGCUACAAUUUUUCUAUGUAGGUGUAGAGAAAGGUCGUCAAAUAGAAGAAUUAGGUCGUUUGAAAAACCUUAGAGGUGAAUUGACAAUCAAACGUCUACAAUUAGUCGGCAAUAAAGAAGAGGCUCAAACUGCAUAUUUACUGGAGAAACCAAAUAUCUACAAGCUGGUGUAUUUAUGGUCCCAUGAUGAAUCAGAAGGCUGUGAGAUCAAUGAUGAGCAUGUGUUGGAUGGUCUUCAACCACAUCCUAACUUGAAAACCUUUGUAGUGGAGAACUAUUGGGGGACUAUAUUUCCUCUUGGUUCAAUGAAGAAUUGAUGCCAAAUUUGGUCAUGUUGAAAUUAAGUGGUUGCAAGAGGUGCAAAGAUAAUCUAUCGCUUGGUCAACUGAAGUUCCUUCGGCAUCUUGAGCUGAUAGGAUUCCUUGAAUUGGAAUGCAUUGGACCUACAUUUUAUGGUGUUGAUAAUGGAUCAAGCAGCAAUAAUGGCAAAAUUCAAGUGUUCCCGUCAUUGAAAGAACUAGUAUUGAAGGAUAUGCAUAGCCUAAUAGAGUGGAAGGGAGAUGAAGUUGGAGUAAGAAAUGUUUCCUGGGCUUGAGAAGUUGACAAUUACAGAGUGUUCACUGUUAAAAAGUGCUCCAACUCAAUUGGAAACCCUGCGUGAAUUAGAAAUUGAAAGAGUUGACAGUGAAAUGCCAUUGUUGAACUUGUGCAGCAACUUAACAUGUCUUGUGGAUCUCGAUGUCAGUGAUGUGAAAGAGCUCACUUGUCUACCUGAUGAGAUGCUACGCAAGAACGUUUCUCUUCAACGCCUGUGGAUCUCAGAUUGCAGAAAGUUUUGUGAAUUGCCACAGAGCUUGUACAAUCUCCAUUCCCUUGAGAGCUUACGAAUAUCCUUCUGCCCCAAUUUUAGUUCUUUUCCUGUUCCCAGUGGAGAGAAUUAUUUAACUUCCCUCCGAAGGCUUCACUUACUUUAUUGUGAUGGAUUGACCAGUUUACCAAAUGGAAUGCUAGAACAAUGCCGGUCUCUAAAGAUUUUGAGGGUCAGCAACUGUAAGAACUUGGUUUCCUUCCCUUUACAUGUGUGGGAAGUACCUUCACUUUCCAUUUUGGAUAUGUCAAAUUGUCCCAAAUUGAUUAGUCUACCCACAGGAGGCCUUCACCAUCUCACUGGGUUAUGGGAUUUGAAAAUUGGUCCUUUCUCAGAGAUUGUGGAUUUUGAGGCAUUCCAAUUGAUUUUUAAUGGCAUUCAGCCGCUAUUGUCCCUUCAUACGUUGUGGGUGUACGGACAUGGGCACUGGGAUUCUCUUCCCUAUCAGCUUAUGCAACUCUCUUCCCUAAUUGAGAUCAGAUUAAGUGAUUUCGGUAUCGAUGAUCUUCCUCAUAGUCUUUGCAAUCUUACUUCUCUUGAAACAUUACAUCUAGUGGGGUGCAAACGGCUACAACAUGUGGACUUCAGAGAUGCCAUGCCCAAAUUACAUUAUCUUGAGAUCUGUGGUUGUCCAUUGUUAGAAGCUCUGUCGGAUGGGCUCAGCAACCCUGUUUGUUUGGAAAUGUUAAUUUUUUGGAACUGCGAAAUACUGGAGCGUCUGCCAUCCAGAGAUGUCAUGCGAAGCCUCACGAAAUUACAGUUCCUGAAAAUUAAAGACUGCCCACAGUUAGAAGAAAGUUGCACCAAUUGGAGUAGCCCAAACUCCCAGUGGUCCAACAUUUCCCAUAUUCCAAAAAUUAAAGUAGGUGGGAGGAUAUUCAGAACUUAACAAUUUCAAAUUUCAAAAUUCUAUUCCUGCUCAACACAAAUGAAGAACCCUAAUUUUUCCCUAUAAAUACUUACAUUUCAGAGCUUAUUUGGGAGGAUUUUUUUCAAAAUCUGGCAGCCCCUCACCUCUAAAAUUUUUAGUUAUUUCUCCUCUAAACCAUCUCUUCUAUUUUCGUAUUUUACCAUUUUCUUUGGCAUUCCAGUCGCAGCAAUAGUUUGUGUGUUCGUUUCGACCAUUAACGGUGGUCAUCAGAGUUAGUAAGUAGAUCUAAGAUCGAGACCGCAAGCCCCCGUUCACUACCCCGCAGCAGGUGAUCUUUGUCCCUUUACUUUUACUUCUAUUAUUGUCUCCGUGAAAAUGUUAUACCUAUUGUAAGAAAAACCAUGCGUCAAGUAUAAUACUCACUUAUUUUUAGCUAUCAUGAAAGUGAUGUUUAAAAAUUAUGUUUUUUUUUAUUUAGUUUGAGGCCUGGAGAGAUUUGAGUUCAUAUCUCCUUCACAUUUUAAUUUAAAGAAUGAUUUGUUUUGGAAGGGGUUGGUGAUAUGUAAUCUGUUUUUGGUUCAAAGUUUGGUAUUUAUUUGUAUCUCUAUGUGAUAAAUAGAUAUUGUUUUCGCUAUUCUUAUGUUUUAAGAUUAUUAUGUUGUGUUGAGAAUCAUGUCAUAGAUAUAUCUAUUUAUUUGUUUUAUAUGCAGAGAAAUUGAAUACAAACUUGCCGCAUUUAUUAGUAAUCUUGGUAUUUAGAAGCUGUGGCCUUAUUUAUGCUUAAACUCGCCAAUGAAUUUUAAAUUGAAUAAAAAGCAAAAUCCUUGUGCUAAAGUUUAUUGCUAUAUUUUUUUUAUUUUUUCUUUUUCUCAACAGUAUGUAUUAAAAUAUAUUUUGGAAAGAAAAGUUGCUUAUUGGAUUCAGAUUUGGUUCUAAUUUGACUUGUGAAUGCUACUUUUAUAAAUAUUAUAUAUAGUUCGAGCUUUAGUUUCUUCUUACAUUGUAUAUUUGAACCAAAAUGUGCUAUACAUUGUAACUCAAUAAUAUUACCUUAGAGACCUUUCUAUAAUUAACUAAAUAGGCCUUAGAUAUUAAAUAAAUAUAUUUGUUUAUAUAUUGUAUCCAGGUGAAGGUUUUGUUUCUUGUUUAAUAUGUUGUGAUGUGUUGUGAUGAUUGCUAUCCUUUAACGAGAAUGGUAUUGGUUUAAUUUAAAGGCUUUGAGAUAUUUAUUCACUGUAAGCAUGCUUGUAAAUAUUAGUUAAAGAAAUUUUAUUUUCUUCCUAUAGAAGAAUGUAUAAGUUAGUUGGGUGUUACAAUUUAUUUCAUACUUACUAUUAAGGUACUUGUGUUGGAAUUGAAUAAAUAGAAUGUAUAUUUGUUUCACCUAUUAGUUACCUGCAUGUCUAAUCCUUUUAUUUCUCUUAUUGUUGUACAUGUACACUUUGGGAGGAAAAAACGGAGUUUUGAUUAGGACUCUACCAAUUAUUGAGUCUCAUAGACUCAACAUUAUCCUCACACUUGCACAUGGAGUCUUCACUACAUCUUUUGACCAUUCGAAAUUGCAAGCAAAACAAGUGGUCCUAUCUUGGAGUCACUUAUGGCUACUUACAUUUUGCAUUAAUUGUUUACGUGUUUUUCUUUACGUGUUAUACUUGCUUGUGUGAUUUAGAUAUUUCUAGUUUGGAUUCAUGAUAAUUGACUUAAUAUAGAUGUUUGGAUUUGGGUUCCUUUAGUUAGAAACUAAACCUUAUUAGUUACUUUACCUUUUAUAAACUUCAUUUGGCAAACCUUUUUUAAAAAAUACUUCUUUUUGCACCAUUUUAAUCUCACUAGAUUUAUUAAGUUUGGUUCAAACUUGGCAAUGUCUUACAAAGAAAAUUUGUUGUUCUAAACUCUUAUUUUUCUAAAACUUUUUCUAACGGGAGCACCUUGUCAGUCAAUGAGCAAGUGUCUAUUUUUUUAAUUACUUAUUUUUAGCCAUGGAUUUUUAGCCACGGAUUUAAGAUUUUACUCUUUCUUAAAUCUUUUUCAUUCUAAUAAAUUGCAAAAGAGCUUUUAAAAUAAAAAAUGUUUUCCAACUUGGUUAUUCAAUCACUUAAUAUUUAGCACUCAUAUCUUUCUUUUAAAAUUAAUUAACCUAAGUUUGGUCGGUAAUCGUAUUUUUAACGAAUCUUAAAGGAUGCCUUACCCCCUUCCCUUUAGGAUAAUUAGAACCCUUACCUAGAAUCUUAAGUUUUAGUUUUACUUAGUUAAAUAUUUAGGUGUCCUAAUUCACCAUAAUUAAUUAGGUGGCGACUUCUUAAGUUAAUUAAUUUGGAAAUCACCAAUAUGUUGUACACGUUUUGACCUCGAGUUAAUGAGGUAUAGCACACACCCCCCUAAAGUUAGGUGUGGUGCAACAACGCCUAACUUGGAUAAACACCAAAAGAAGGCAGGCUUGGGUAGCGGCUUUGUGAGAGUGUCUGUAAUUUGAUCCCCGACCAUAACAAACUUAGGUUAAUAAUUAAGUUUUUAACAUCUGUUUGUUUCAUUUUUGUUGUGUGUUUUAAUGCCUAAAUGAUUUACUUAUCAUGCUUAUGUGAAUAUAAACUGCUUAUUUGUAGUAGCUUUAUAUAAAUUGUUUAUUUGUUACUGUUAUGAAACACCAAUAUUAUCACAAAAAAAUCUUGGCGUUUGCGAGACUUGAUAUCGUAAUUCAGUCAAUAGAUUGUGUACCCAAGUAAGUUCAGAGAGUGCAUUGGCUACCGAUUUGUAUUCUGCUUCAAUAGAGGACCGAGCAACUAAUUGUUGCUUUUUAGAGGACCAACAGAUCAGAUUUGGUCCCAAGAAGAGUAUGUAACCAGAUGUGGAUAUUCUGUCAGAGGGAUCACCUGCCCAAUCAGCAUCGGCGUACAUAUACAUAUUACUAUUAGAGUGGCUAGAGAUUUGUAGGCACGACGUUGAUGAUGCCUUGAGGUAUCGAAACACCUUUUUUACUGCUUUCCAAUGCUCCAGACUUGGGGAUUGCAUAAACUGUGAUAGUUUGUUAACUGCAAAGGCAAUAUCAGGACGCGUGAAUGAUAAGUAGUGCAAUUUACCAAUGGUGCGUUGAUACAAGGUUGUAUCGGCAUGAGGUGAACCAUCGGCUGCUUUGGGUGGUAAACUUGAGCACAUGGGUGUCGUAACUCCUUUACAGUUGGCCAUAUCCACAUCUCAAGUAUGUAUCUGGAUUGUGAAAAGACAAUCCCAUUUGGAACAUUUUGACUUCGAUCCCCAAAAGAUAGUUGAGUUCACCCAGGUUCUUUAGAGAGAACUUGUAAGCCAGAGAGUUGAUUACAUGUGUGACCAAGUUUGGGUAAUUCCCAGUAAUGAGGAUAUCAUCAACAUACAAUAGAAUAUACAUCGUGACAGCUUCAGAUGUAAAAAUAAACAGAGAAGCAUCUGAUUCAGACUUAACAAACCCAAUUUUAGUCAAGUGAAAUUUGAGAGCUUCAUACCAUGCACGAAGAGCUUGUUUUAGGCCAUAAAUGGCCUUUUGGAGAUGGCAGACAUGAUUGGGAAAAUCAGGGUUGACAUAGCCUUUCGGCUACGCCAUGAAUACUUGCUCCUGUAAGUUACCUUACAAAAAUGCAUUAUUUACGUCAAGCUGCUGCACUUUCCAAUUAUUUUGAACUGCAAUAGAAAGUACAAUUCUGAUGGUGGUUGGUUUGACAACCGGACUGAAAGUUUCAUGAAAGUCCAGUCCUGGACAUUGUGUGAAACCUUUUGCAACUAAUUGCGCCUUGUAGCUGUCAAUAGAACCAUCAUCUUUCCUUUUAAUGUGAAAUAACCACUUACAAUCAACAACAUUAUUUAUCGGGUCCCUAAGUACUAGUUCCCAAGUUUGGUUUUUCAUUAAGGCUUCAUAUUCCAGAUCCAUUGUAUUCUUCCAUUCAAUGUGCUUAACUGCUUGCUUAAAGGUAUUUGGAGUGGGAGAAAGGUAGGACAAGAAGCUGAAUUUUUUCUUUGGUGUGAAGAUAUUAUUUUUGGACCUUGUGACCACACCGGAUGGUGGAGGGACAGCAACUGGUGACAUAAUUGUUAGCUGUUGCGGUGGAUGUUGGUUGAUUGGUGGCCGACGGGAAUAAUAUAAUGGUUGAGAGGUGUUGUGGGCUGCUUCAUUAAAUAGUGAAUGAGGUUGGGAAGAGAUAAGAAUCAUACCUGAUGAAGUGGAGACUGCUGGUAGUUGCCUUUCAAUUAUGGACUCUGGAGUGUUUGAAUGAGAGGGAACUGUUAGGGUGAUAGGAAUAGGAGGCGGAAGAGUUGGAACAAGAUUGAAGUCCAAAUUUAAUUGGACUUCCGGAUGAGUAUCCUUACCGACUUGGGACUCUAUGAUUUCCCAUUAUAACGUGGAAAACAUAUUUUUCAAGUGUGAGAACAUUUGAGUGAAAGGAAAAAUAUCUUCACAAUAUUGAACAUCACGACUGACGAAAAUUUUUGAGUGCAUAGGAUUAAAGCAGAGGUGUGCAUGAUGAACAAUAGAAACUCCUAAGUAGACACACAGUGUAGAUCUAGGCUGAAAUUUAUUUUUUGUAUAUGGCUUAAGCCAUGGAUAACAUAGACAACAAAAAAUUUUCAGCGAAGAGUAUUUUGGCGGUUCGCCAAACAAUUUUUUAUAAGGAGAAUCAUUAUUCAAGUCAGGUGUAGGUAGUCUAUUUAUGAGAUAGACAGCAUGGUGACAGGCAAAUGACCAUAGUUUAGAUGAUAGUGAGGCUUCAUUGAGAAUAGUUCGAGUUGUUUUGACAAUGUGACGAUGUCGUCGUUCAGCAAUUGCAACUCAUUGGGGCGUGUAGGGUGGGGAGAUCAAAUGUUGAAUGCCAUGGCAUUGUAGGUACUGUUUAAGACUUGUGUAUUCAUCCCCUCCAUCAGUAUAAAGUGAGACAAUUUUGUGUUUGGAAAUUUUUUCCACUAAAGGAUGAAAGUUUGUAAAAAUUGAAGCGACUUCACUUUUGUUUUUGAUUGUAUACAACCAAGUGUAUUUGGUGUAAUGAUCAACAAAAAUGCAGUAAUACAACUUUUUAUCAAUGGAUAAAAUGGGUGAUGGACCCCAUAAAUCACUAAACAAAGUUUGAAGUGGUGCAUUACUAUUUAAAGUGAGUCGUUGAAAUGGCAAACGAUGAGCUUUAUUUGAUGAGCAUGAAUUACAAAAAUGAAACUUUUCUUUGGUGGAAAAGGGAAGUGAAAAUUUAUUCAGUACUAAGUCUAGGAUUUUCAGAUAACGGUGACCCAAGCGACGAUGCCACAAUUGACGAGAAACUUUGGUGGAGGUGAAGUUGGCGGAAGGUGACACAUGAUCCCUCUGUGGCCACUCAUAGAGUCCGUGUUUAUUCUAGCCUUGUACCAGCAGUCUCCGAGUUUUGAGAUCCUUCACAAGAAAUGAGUGUGGGAAAAAUUCGAUUGAGGUCAGAUUGUCAGUGCAAAACUUAGCAACAGAAAUAAGGUUCUUUUUGAUAGCUGGAGCACAAAGAGUGUUAGAGAGCAUGAAAUUGGAGUUAGAAGCCUUAAUUUGAGUAAAAUCAGUGUGAGUAAUAAGAAUAGUUUUACCGUCACCUAUGGACAUUUCCUCAUUGCCAGUGUAUUCUUCAAGAUUAUCUGACUCAAUUGUGACAUGAUGAGUUGCUCCAGAGUCGAUGAUCCAAGGAUUUGCAUUUGAGUGAUGAUUUGACACAAAGUUGACCUUAGCUUCAAAGUGGUUGUGCGAUUUUGAGCGACACACAUCAGCUGUGUGACCGAUCUUUUGGCAAAGUUGGCAUUUUACUGCUUGCCUGGGUAGUCUCCCAUUCUGUUGAUUUCCAGGGACCGCCUGUCGUGGAGCUUGUGGUCUUGAAGAUUGAUUUGGGAAGCGAUGAUUAUUUUUUGAUGUUGGGGCUGGAAGUUGGUCCUUUGUGCAACUGCAGCUGUAAUGAUAGAGGAUGACCUGUCAAUAUCUUGAUGUUUGAGAAAGAGUUCAUGGUCCGUGAGUUUCUGGAACAACUCCUCAAAGCUUAGGGCUGUUUCGCGCGCUCUUAUAGCGGCAGUGAUUUCACGGUACUCAUGACCUAGGCCACUCAAAAUCUUGACUGCUAGUUCAUCAUUAUCCACCGGAGAGCCCGUUACUUUGAAAGCAUUAGCAAUUGAUCUGAUCUCUUGUAGGUAAGUAGCAACUGUCUUGGAGGCCUUUUUCAUGUUUUGCAACUGAUCUCGUAAGCUGAAGAUGCGAGUGUGACUCCUAUUGGCAUAAGCUAUAUGAAGGAGAUCCCAAGCUAUUUUUGCCGAAGAGGCAGUUGCAACAAUAGGAGCAAUGGUGGGGUCAACGGAUGCCAUCAUUGCCUGUUGAAUUAGUUGGUCCUGGCAAAACCAUAGCUCAUAUUCAGGAUUGGAGAUGGUACUAUCAGUUUGUGUGAUAGUGGUUGGCGGAGCAGAUUGGCACCAGUGAGAUGCCCAAGGAGCUUGUGUCCAUUGAGUAGCAUCACUAGUUGCGCCUUCCAGGUGCUAAAGUUGAGGUUACCUUGCAGUUUGAUAGGUAAUUGGGCAGCUGGAUUGAACUGUACCACAUGAGUGGUAGUCGGAACUGCAGCAGCCCUAUCAUUGGUGGUAGCAGGAACAACCAUGUUUGGACGCAAAGAGAGGAAAAAAACUUUGGAUCGGACUCGUGAGAGAGGGGGUCUAAUACCAUAAGGAGAUUGAGAAUCAAAGCAAACUUGAAUGAAUCUUAUUCAAAUGUUACAUAACUUAAAUACAGGUAAGACGUAACUAACUUGACUAAUUCUAAGGAACUGUUCUAACAACUUAAUAUGUAACUAAGUUGACUAAAACUAAGGAACUACUUUAACAACUUAAUCUAAAUCUACUCUAACAACCUGAUAAGAAUUAAUAACAAACUAACAAACUAGUGAGUAUGUCAACAAUAACUUUUAUGAAUAGAUGACACACUUGUCGUUACUUUCACUUCACAGGACAAUUUCUCCGUUCAUUAAACUUUCGUCAUUGAUGGACUUCAACAGAGAUAGUUGUCAUGAAUCAUUUAGCAAAUAAUGCCCCAUUGGCUCUUAAAAUGUCCUUAGCAACAUCUGCUCAUCUUAGCAGGUCUUGCGUUCUCCUUUUUUUAGUGGUUACUUGUAAUGAUUUUCUUCUCCAUUCUCCCAAGGAGGAAACGUGUGCCAAAACUGACUUUUUACCAUUUCUGGAAUUAUUUCAGAUUCAUGUUUGAAACACGAGCAUGGACCUCGUCGAAAUGGUACUUGUGUUAGAUGUGUUACAGUUUCAUAAUUGGCAAGGGAAAUUGCAUUCGGUAAACUCGUUUGCAUUUGGCUGAAACUGGAUUUGAGAUAUUAUAUCCUUGAAUGUGGAAAAUCCCGGAAGUGAAACUAGUAGACCUUUGAUGUUGGUCUAAUUCUAAACUGAAUUAACUGGUAGUGUUGAAUAGCAUUCAAAGUAGAAAGAGCAACUUAUGCAAGUCACUUUGCUAGAUUUCUCAGCCAUGGUUGUAUGCUGUAGAACAACUUGUGUCUUGAGAUUUUUAUUUUAGUGGUCUCUCAGAAUUGCCUUGCACGUUUAUUCCAAAAUACCUAAUACAAAUUUUGUAUUGCAAAUGAUAAAUUUUCAAAGACACAUAUAUUGUUAGAUUUUUUUUAUGUUAUAAAAUAACAAUCAAAACAUACAAAAAAAUUACAACUUUUUCACAGCAUAAGUUUAUAUGUUUAUAUCUCUACUCUGCUUAUUCAACCAAGAUUUCCAUCUAAGGUAUGCCCAUUACACCAAAAUAACAACUUUUUCGCAGCAUGAGUUUAUAUGUAUCAUAGUAUACCUUAAGUUAUGGCAUAUGCCCCUGAUAUUGAAAUAACAAAUAACUUUCCCAUGAUACAAGUUUACAUGUUUGUAUCAUAAUAUUCCACAAGUUAUGUUGUAUGCUAAGAGCCGGGAGGGCAUAAUGCAAAAAAUAAAAUAAAAUAUAAACCCAAUUUUUUUCUCUAAAAAGGAUAAAGAAUGCAUAUGCCCCAAAAGCAUAACUCCAGUUUCUGAACACUACAACAAAUUUUAGAAAAAACUACACAACUUAUGUUGGAAUAUUUAAUUUAUACAGAACUUAUGCCAAGCGAAGCAAAAGUUAUUUAAACUUAUGCUGAGCGAAUUAGGUCUCGACAGAUAUAUUUUGGUCCCCCAAAUUUUCAUAAUUAAACACCAGUCUGUUUGAAGGGCAAUACGUGCAAAAACUUGAUUUGAAUGUGACUUCCUUUUUGGUAUCCUUAUUUUCUUGUGGCAGACUCAUAACAGACUGUCAUUCAUUAGAAAUAAAAACAACACACAAAUUAUUUAUUUAAAGGAUGAUUAGCUGUUAAUCCAAAAAAAACAUUCUUUAUUCAAAUUAUUCUCUUUCUUGUAGAGGCCGGCAAACAACUAGCAAAAGAAUACUUAUGCAAGAAAUUUGAGAAGAUUUGGUGUAUAGAGGAAGAAAACAACUUUGUAAAGAGCAUUGCAACGAUGGCCGAUCUUGUAAUUGGUGCUACUGUUAAAGUUGUGCUUGAUAAGCUGCUUUCUCUCACUAUUGAGGAGGCCAAGAGUUUAAGGAACUGCAAGAAAAAUCUAAGAAUGUUGACAAAAUAUGUAUCCAUGAUCCAAGCUCUCAUUCAUGAUGCUGAAAGAUGACAAGUUGAUGAUCAGGCUGUUGAACAAUGGCUCAAAAUGCUUGAGAGAGUUGCUGAAGACGCUGAAAACGUGUUUGACGAAUUCAGAUAUGAAUAUCUCAAAGCACAAGUGAUGAACAUCCGAACCAAACUAAUGGAAAAGGUCAGCAACUUCUUUUCUCAUACUGUUUUUAAGUACAAAAUGUCUGAAAAAAUCAACAACAUCAAUGAAGAGUUGAGGGCUAUCAAUCAGUUAGCCAAAGACCUUGGUCUCCAAUCACUGAUGGUUCCUUCUCGGAACAUAGUACCAAUUCGAGAAAUAGAUUCCGUAGUUGUUGCUUCGGAUGUUGUUGGUAGAGACAAAGAUAUUGCUGAAAUAAAGGAGAAGAUUUUGAACAUGAGAAAGGAAGUUGUUCUGUGCACCAUUCCCAUAGUGGGUAUGGGUGGUUUAGGGAAAACAACUAUGGCUAAGAGAAUUUUCAGUGACAAACACAUCAAGCAGCAGUUCGAAAAGAGAGUUUGGUUGUGCCUACCUGAAAUGUCAGAAUCUAAGAGCUUUCUUGAACAAAUCCUUGAAUCAUUGACAGAGAGGAAAGUUGAGGUUCAAAGGAGAGAUUUAAUAGUUAAGAAGCUACAAGAUGAAUUGGAAGGAAAAAAGUAUUUGCUUGUCCUAGAUGAUAUGUGGCGUGUUGACUCUACAUCGUGGCAUGAGUUCGUGGACACCUUGAAAGGAAUAAAUACAUCCAGAGGAAACUGCAUUCUUGUGACUACUCGUAUGAAGCAGGUGGCAUCCAUAGUAGCAGAAGAUCUUCAUAUGUUGAGAAGAUUAGCAAGAGAUCAUUGUUGGUCCAUUUUCAAACAAAGAGCGUUUGUCGGUGGGAGGUUCCGAAGGCGGAGGAAAUACUGAGCGUGGAGACCAAGAUUGUUGAAAUGUGUCAAGGUCUGCCGUUGGCUGCAAGUGUGUUGGGAGGCCUCUUAUGCAACAAGGAAAAACAUGAAUGGCAGGCAAUUCUUGAUGGAAACCACCUUGUUGCAGGUGAAGAUGAUAAAGGGGAAAAUAGCAUAAAGAAAAUCCUAAAACUCAGCUAUGAUUAUCUACCAUCUCCACAUCUGAAGAAAUGUUUUGCUUACUUUGCUAUGUUUCCAAAAGAUUUUGAGUUUGAGAAGGACCAACUAAUCCAACUCUGGAUGGCAGAAGGGUUUCUUCGUCCAUGUCAAGAGACCCCCGUGAUGGAAGACGUCGGGAACAAGUUUUUCCAACUCUUGUUGCAAUAUUCCUUGCUGCAAGAUGUUAAGAUAGAUGAGCUCAACAAUAUAACACAUUGUAAAAUGCAUGAUCUUGUGCAUGAUUUGGCUGAAGAUAUUUUAAAGUCUAAACUAUUUGAUCAAAAGAGUGUUAGAGGAGAAAAUCUUUCUCAAGUCCGAUACUUUGGAUGGAACUCACCAAGUGAUCAAAUGGAUAUGAUAAAUGAGCCAGGACGUUUGUGCACAUUGUUCUGGAAAAGAAAUCUAUCUGAAGAUAUGCUAUUGAACUUUCAGUUCUUGAGGGUUUUAAAUUGUCCAGGUCAGGCAUCAAGGAGUUAUCAGCCAAAAUCGGCAAGCUAAUAUACCUGAGGUAUCUUGAUCUCUCCGACACGCAGAUCGAAGCCUUGCCCAAUUCCAUUUGCAAGCUCUACAAUUUGCAAACAUUUAGAGUCAAUGACUAUUCUUCACUCAGGAAGCUUCCAGAAGAAAUGGCAAAUAUGAUAAGUUUGAGACACAUAUAUUGCAGCUAUCAUUACAAAUUUGAUAUGCAGAUACCACUUAAUAUGGGACAAUUGACUUGUGUUCAAACCCUAGAGUUUUUCAAGGUGGGUUCAGAGAAAGGUCGUCGAAUAGAAGAAUUAGGUCAUCUGAAAAACCUUAGAGGUGAAUUGACGAUCAGAGGUCUGCAAUCAGUCAGAACUAAAGAAGAGGCUCGAGCAGCAUAUUUACAGGAGAAACCAAAUAUCUACAAGCUGACAUAUUUGUGGUCCCAUGAUGAAUCAGAUGUAUGUUAGAUCAAUGAUGAACAUGUGUUGGAUGGUCUUCAACCGCAUCCUAACUUGAAAACCUUAGUAGUGGAGAACUAUUUGGGGACUAUAUUUCCUUCAUGGUUCAGUAAAGAAUUGCUACCGAAUUUGGUCAUGUUGAAAUUAAGUGGUUGCAAAAGGUGCAAAGAAAUUCCAUCGUUUGGCCAACUGAAGUUCCUUCGGUAUCUUGAGCUGAUAGGAUUCCUUGAAUUGGAAUGCAUCGGACCUACAUUUUAUGGUGUUGAGAUUAAUGGCAAUAUCCAAGUGUUCCUCUCAUUGAAAGAACUUGUAUUGGAGGAUAUGCGUAGCCUUAUUGAGUGGAAGGGAGAUGAAGUUGGAGAAAGACUGUUUCCCACGCUUGAGAAGUUGAGGAUUACAAAGUGUCCACUGUUAAAAAGUACUCCAACUCAAUUUGAAAUCCUGCGUGAAUUAAGAAUUGAAGGAGUUGACAGUGAAAUGCCAUUGUUGAACUUGUGGAGCAACUUGACAUCUCUUGUGAAUCUUUUUGUCAGUAACGUGAAAGAGCUCACUUGUCUACCAGAUGAGAUGCUACUGUUGAAAAGUGAUUCAUAUACUUGACCAAGUCUUCAGGAGUUUGUUAGUUAGUUUCCUUUAUCUUAGCAUGUUUAGAUAUUGUGGCAGAUUAGUAGCUAAUUAGUAGUUAGUGGUUUAGUGGACCUAGAUUUUAGUAUUUUCUGUUUUACAGUAAGCCUAUUUAUAGGCAGACUUGUUGCUUCCAUUAUAAAUUAGAAACAAAACUUUGCAGUAGCUUUUACUUCUGUUUUUUGCUAUAUUUUUCUGUUCACUUUCUCCUUUACUUCCUUUUUUCUUUCCAACAAAUCUGGUAUCAAGAGCAAGGUUCCUUUCUGGAAAGUGUGAGGAAAAAUGGCAGUAAAUGGUAUUUCAUCAUCUUCCCAACAACUCAUGCCAAUUUUUACUGGUGAAAAGUAUGAGUUUUGGAGUAUCAAAAUGAAAACUCUUUUCAAAUCACAAGGAGUUUGGGAUUUGGUUGAAGCAGGCUUCGUGGAGCAAUCAGACUCUGACGAAGAGACGGAAAAAUUGAAAGAGAUAAAAAAGAAGGAUGCGAAAGCACUAUUCCUGAUUCAACAAGCAGUCCACGAUACAAUUUUUUCAAGAAUUGCAGCAGCAACUACAUCUUCGCAGGCAUGGAAGAUUUUGAAGAAGGAAUUUCAAGGUUCAGCUAAGGUGAUUACGGUAAAAUUACAGACUUACCGUCGUGACUUUGAAACUCUUUCUAUGAAAAGUAAUGAAUCUGUUCAAACUUAUUUGUCUAGAGUUUCUUCUCUUGUUAAUCAAAUGAAGCCUUAUGGUGAAAUCAUAUCUGAAGAAACGGUUGUAGCAAAAGUUUUAAGGAGUCUUACUUCAAAGUUUGAACAUAUUGUUGUUGCGAUUGAGGAAUCUCAUGACUUAUCUGAGUAUACUUUUGAUGAACUAAUGAGUUCUUUGCAAGCUCAUGAAGAGAGGCUCCUAAGAUCGCAUGAAAAAAAUGAAGAGAAGGUAUUCCAGGUGAAGGGGGAGUCCAUUCAUCAGAAAGAUAAGCUAGAAAUCUUUGCAAAUCGUGGAAGAGGCAGAGGUGGUUUUCGAGGAAGAGGCCGUGGAAGAGGCCAAGGAAGAAAUCGAGAUAGAGGAGGAUCAAAUGAAGAGAAGCAGGCUAAGACGUUUCUGUGCAACUACUGCAGAAAAUCAGGUCAUAAAGAAGCUUAUUGUUGGCAAAAACAGAGGGAUGAGAAUAACCAAGCAAGCUUUGUAGAGGAAAAUGAUGAUGACAGUAAGUUGUUCAUGGCCCUUUAUUGUGAAAAAGAAACUCCUAACGAUUUUUGGUUCUUGGACAGUGGUUGUUCCAAUCAUAUGUCUGGAACAAGAUCAUUGUUCAAGGAGCUCGAUGAGUCAAAAAAAUCAGAUGUAAGGCUAGGAGACAACAAGAAGAUUCAGGUUGAAGGUAGAGGUACAGUUAGCAUUAUGACCAGCCAAGGUAAUGCUAAGAUUUUAGAAGAUGUGAUGUUUGUUCCUAGUCUAUCUCAUAAUUUGCUUAGCAUUGGACAACUAAUGAUUAGCGGAUACUCAAUUUUCUUUGACGAUGGUGUUUGCACUAUUAAAAAUAAGAAAAUCUGAGAAAAUCAUUGCUAAAAGUUCCAAUGGCUAACAAUAAAAUGUUUCCUCUAGACGUUUCAAUGGUUGAGAGGUGUGCUAUGGUAGCUAGUGGAGAUAAUGAAACUAGACUAUGGCAUUUACGUUAUGGGGUCAUUUAAACGUUAAUGGAUUGAAGUUAUUGAGUCAAAAGGAAAUGGUUUUUGGUUGCCAAAAGUUGAGAAUCUUGAUUUUUGUGAAAGUUGUGUUUAUGGGAAAUAAAGUAAAAAAUGUUUUCCUAUAAGCAAGUCUUGGAGAGCUUCUGUUUGUCUUGAGUUAGUACAUGCUGAUUUGUGUGGUCCUAUGAGUGUUGAGUCUUUAGGGGGAAGUCGAUACUUUCUGCUUUUUACUGAUGAUUAUAGUCGUAUGAGUUGGAUAUAUUUCUUGAAAUUUAAAUCUGAAACUUUUGACAAUUUCAAGAAAUUUAAAUCUUUUGUUGAGAGACAAAGUGGAUGUAGACUCAAAACACUUCGAACAGAUAGAGGUGGUGAGUUUAUGUCAAAAGAAUUCAGUUCCUUUUGUGAGGAAAAUGGAAUACACAGAGAACUCACAGCACCUUAUACACCAGAGCAAAAUGGUGUAGCAGAACGAAAGAACCGCACAGUUGUCGAGAUGGGCAGAAGCAUGAUGGAAGGUAGAGGUGUACUGAAGUGUUUUUGGGCUGAAGCUGUUGCCACUGCUGUCUAUUUGCUGAAUAUUUCUCCUACUAAGGCAGUGUUUAAUCAAACACCAUAUGAAGCUUGGAGAGGUAACAAGCCCAAGGUAAGCCACUUACGUGUCUUUGGUUGUAUAGCUUAUGCCUUGAUAAAUUCACAAGCUCGACGUAAGCUUGAUGAAAAAUGUGAAAAAUGUAUUUUUGUUGGAUAUAGCACACAAUCCAAGGCUUAUAAGUUAUAUAAUCCAGUGAGUGGUAAGAUUACGGUCAAUAGAAAUGUUGUGUUUAAUGAAGAUGCAAGUUGGAAUUUUAAUUCCACAAAUGAAAGUUCAAACAUUAAGUUGUUGCCUUCUGACGAUAUUAUUGAUCAAGAGUAUGUAGCUGAUCCUUUUUUGGCUGGUCCAUCGUCUACCUCAUCAAUUGCACCAACAACUUCUCCAAUAUUGGAAAAACCUUCCGCUGAGCCAAUUCCAUUAAAAAGAUCAACAAGAGAUAGGAAACAAAAUCCUAGAUAUGCUAACAAUACAUCUUGUACCUUUGCUUUACUUGUUUUAGAUCCUAUCCUCUUUGAAGAUGCUGAAAAAGAGGAUAAAUGGUGCAAGGCUAUGGAAGAAGAGUUGAUGGCUAUUCAAAAGAAUCAGACAUGGGACUUGGUAAAUUUGCCUGAAGGAAAGAAAGCUAUUGGGCUCAAAUGGGUGUUUAGAACCAACUAUCAUGCUGAUGGCAGCAUCUAAAAACAUAAGGCAAGGCUCGUCGCAAAAGGUUAUUCCCAGCAACAAGGUAUUGACUUUGAAGAAACUUUUUCUCCUGUUGCUCGCUUUGAAACUGUGAGAACUUUUUUAGCCUUGGCUGCUAAUUUAAGUUGGCCAGUUUACCAAUUCGAUGUUAAAUCUGCCUUUUUAAAUGGUGAUUUGGAAGAGAAAGUCUAUGUCUCACAACCUGAAGGUUUUGUAGUAAAUGGCAAAGAAGAUAAUGUCUAUAGGUUAAAAAAGGCACUUUAUGGCUUAAAGCAAGCGCCGCGGGCAUGGUACUUCAAGAUUGAUUCAUAUUUCCAUGAGAAUGGUUUUGAAAGGAGUAACAAUGAACCUACUCUUUAUGUAAAACGAGAAGGUAAAAAUGAUUUUUUGGUCGUAUGUCUUUACGUUGAUGAUAUGAUAUAUAUGGGUUCGAAUGAGUCUAUGAUCACUGAUUUUAAGGACUGCAUGAUGAAGAAUUUUGAGAUGUCUGAUUUGGGUCUACUACAUUAUUUUCUUGGUCUUGAGGUGAAACAGGGAAUCGAAGGCAUAUUUCUUUCACAAAGAAAAUAUGCGACAGAUCUUUUGAAAAAGUUUACUAUGGUAAAUUAUAAAGUUGCUGUUACGCCGAUGAAUAUUAAUGAAAAGUUGUGUCGUGAUGAUGGUUCUGAAAUGGCAAAUGCAACUUAUUUUAGAAGUCUGGUUGGUGGUUUGAAUUACUUGUCUCAUACAAGACCAGAUAUUGCUUUCUCUGUUGGCGUUAUAUCGAGAUUUAUGCACAAUCCAAGCAAGCUUUCACCUUGGAGCUGCAAAGAGAGUACUAAGAUAUAUUGCUGGGACAACAAAGCAAUGGAAAUUUGGUAUUCUAAGGUAACAAAUUUCACAUUAACUGGCUUUACUGAUAGUGACUACGCAGGCAGCAUUGAUGAUCGAAAGAGCACAUCUGGUUUCUUGUUUAAUCUUGGGUCUGGAGCAGUUUCAUGGAGUUCAAAGAAGCAGGAAGUGGUCGCUUUAUCAACUUCAGAGGCUGAAUAUAUUGCAGCAACCUCUGCAGCUUGUCAAGCAGUUUGGUUAAGGAGACUUGUUGCAGAUUUUAACCAGAAACCGACUGGUGCAACUGAGAUUUUUUGUGACAAUAUAUCUGCUAUUGCGAUGACGAAGAAGCCAGCAUUUCACAGCAGAACAAAGCACAUUGGUAUUCGCUAUCACUAUAUUAGAGGUCUUGUUUCUACAGGAGAAAUUACUUUGAAGUCUUGUGAUACAAAUGAGCAAGCAGCAGACAUCUUCACGAAGUCACUUCCGCAAGCAAAGCACGAGUUCUUCAAAGGUCAACUUGGAGUUUGCUGUUUUGAAUCAAGGGGGAGUGUUGAAAAGUGAUUCAUAUACUUGACCAAGUCUUCAGGAGUUUGUUAGUUAGUUUCCUUUAUCUUAGCAUGUUUAGAUAUUGUGGCAGAUUAGUAGCUAAUUAGUAGUUAGUGGUUUAGUGGACCUAGAUUUUAGUAUUUUCUGUUUUACAGUAAGCCUAUUUAUAGGCAGACUUGUUGCUUCCAUUAUCUAUCAGAAACAAAAUCCUUGCAGUAGCUUUUUACUUCUGUCUUUGCUCUAUUUUUCUGUUCACUUUCUCCUUUACUUCCUUUUUCUUUCCAACAGCUACGCAACAAUGUUUCUCUUCAACGCCUGUGUGUCUCAGAUUGCGGAGAGUUUCGUGAAUUGCCACAAAGCUUGUACAAUCUCCAUUCUCUUAAGAGAUUACAAAUAUCCAACUGCGCCAAUUUCAGUUCUUUUCCUGUUCCCUGUGGAGAGAACUACUUGACUUCCCUCCAAUUAUUUCAGUUAAGGUAUUGUGAUGGAUUGAUUAGUUUACCAAGUGGAAUGCUAGAGAAAUGCCGGUCUCUAUUGAUUUUGAUCGUCAAAAACUGUAACAACUUGGUUUCCUUGCCUUUACAUGUGUGGGAAAUGCCUUCACUUUGGCUGUUAGAUAUAUCAGAUUGUCCCAAAUUGAUUAGUGUACACGCAGGGGACCUUCACUGGCUCACUGGGUUACGGCAUUUGGAAAUUGGUCCUUUCUCAGAGAUGGUGGAUUUUGAGGCAUUCCAGUUGAUAUUUAAUGGCAUUCAGCAGCUGUUGUCCCUUCGUACAUUGAGGGUGUACGGACAUGGGCACUGGGAUUUUCUGUCCUAUCAGCUUAUGCAACUCUCUGCCCUAACAGAUAUCUAUAUAUUUGAUUUUGGAAUCGAGUCUCUUCCUCAUAGAUUUGACAACCUUACUUCUCUUGAAACAUUAUUGCUAGUGAGGUGCAAACGGCUACUGUUGACACCAAAUUUUGUCCCUCCUCUCUUCUAAUUUAUUUCGUUGAGCUUCUAAGUUGCUAAUAAGUCGAAUACUUUAUAAUUCGCUAUUAUUUUCCACUUAUCUCUAUUGCUAUCGUAAUUAUCUAUAUUACUUUUAUGAUUAUCAUCUUUGUAUUAUCCUUCUCGCUAUUUUAAAAUUAUAUAUUUUAUUUUCGACAUUACUAUUAUUACUUUAUUGUCGUCUUCUUUAAAAUAGAUUGUCGUUACUUUAUUUCAAGUUUCUUACUUACUAAUUUUUUUUUUACAUAAUAUAUAUUAUAUUUGUUAUAAGUUAGAAGCCCAAAAUGAUUUAACAAGAAGAUGGGAAAAGGCCAACAAAUCCAAAACCCAACAAUUGGAUUAUUUUGGUCCAAGAAACGUUUUAGUCAUUCAGCCCAUCUACCCAUUAAUCCAAAUAAUCAGUCAGCUCACAUAAUUUAUCAAUAAUCCAAAAAUACCCUUCACAACUUCAGCCCUAAUUCAAAAUUUCUCAGCAGCAGCCUUUCCAUUCCUCUUCUAGCGUAAAUACAUUUUUUUUCAUAGUCAUGGCAAAAUUUCUUCACCAUUUUUGUGCAAGUUCUGUACACCUACUUUAGCAUAUCAUCAAAAUGUGUAUAAGUCCAAUGCAUAGCAGAUCCGACUUCAGAAAAAGGCUCACUAUUUCGAGCAUAAAUCUGAAGUAUCAUGUGAAGGACACAUUCAUCCAAAUCUCAACGUUGGAUUUCAAACGACUCUCUUUGACCAUGAAUUCAAAAAUCAAAGAUGAAAUCCCGCCCAAAUGUAAACCGAAAUCUUAAAGCCUAUUCUAUAAAUACUUGCCUCUGUUAGCCUUUGAAGGGGGGCGUUUUUGGCUUUGAAAAGAGGAGUUUUCUGCUUACAAAAGAAAUCAAGAACAAGUUUAAGCAUUCUCAAGAACGCUCCUCUCUUAUAUUUGAAUAUCAUCUCACGAAAUAUUUUCUAUUCUAUUCUCUAUUUUUGCUUAAUUUUGUCGGAGGAACGAGAUUAGAUCUUUGAUCAACGACCAAGUUCACUGCUCCACAAAAGGUGAAAAUCUAAACUUAUUCUUAUUUAUUCGACAUCGACGAUUGUUUUGUUGUUAUAAGUCAUGCAUAAUGGAUAUAUCACUCUGUAAAUUUGAUUCAUUUCAAUUUGAACUGUUUACUGUAUAUUCCCAUAUGCUUGCAUAUCAGCCUAGAAAUCUCAACCUAUCACUGGGUGGUUAAGUUUAGUAUAAGAAAAUGCAUACAUUAGGAGUAGAUUUAUAUUUAGUUCAGUGCUACUAUCUGAAAACUCUCUCAACUAACAAAAGAUUUCCACUUUUACUAAAAGUCAUGUCUUAUUAAAUUUCACUUAACAUUCAUUAAUGUACACAUAUGUAUAAAUUAUGUCUGUUAAAAUGUAUUACUUAAGAUCCCUCUAUUGAAGUGGCUUUUCUAAUCAUGCACUAUGUCUUGUACUUUGAUACACAAGAAUAAUGCCAUACUUCUGUACAUGUUAGUCUUUUGUUUUAUAAAUCGAGUUCCGUAUAACUUGCUCUGUUUUUGUACUUUUAUUAACUAUUUGAGAAUCAUUUUUUUCUAACUUUCCCUCCUUGCUCUUUUCUCUGUUUUGCACGCACAUCGAAGCCGAAGAGUCCCCUAUGGGACUCAACGAUACCAUUAUUGCAUGGAGCUUGCAUAUCUUAUACAUGGAGUCGGCACGUCCUUAUUCUUUCCUGCUUCAUACUGUUCAGACCUCUAGUAACGGAGGAGAUCAUUUCCUUAUGUUAAAGUCGCACAUAACUACUAAUUUCCUCAUUUAUUUUAGCUUGUUUUAUUUGAUUGUAUUGAUGUGAUCAACAUUUUAUAUUUGUCUAUGUGUUAUGUGUUCCCUUAUAUGUAAUGACUAAUAGCUAGGCUUUAAUUGGAAUUCCCUUUGACCCUCAUACAGUAGCUAUGAACACUUGCUUUUAUCACAUAAAAUAGAGCCGUUAUUUCUUUAAAAAAAACAAAAAGGCUUAAGAAGCCAACUUUGUUAAGUUAGAAAUAUUCCUUAUUGAAAUUUUCUUGCAGUUACUAAUUUUGGUUUCAAAUACUUUUGUCAAAAUAACCACUAUAACGUUUUCUGCUCCAACUCCUUUUUUUGGGUUUACAUUUACAGAUUUUAUUAUAAAAUUUAUUCCUUAACUUGUAAGUUCUUGAAUUUAUUCGAAGCUUAAACUUUUCCCUCUAAAUUUAGUUAAGUUUACUAGAUCUUCUUUUACUACUUCUAAUACUUCAUUUUUUGAUAAAAUUCCUAUUUCUUAUUAAAUUCAAAUGGAUUCAAGUCAUCAUUAUUCAAUAAACUAAUUUAACUUUUUACAAAACUAUUUUACUUCCACACAUUUUCAACAAGACGAUUUUUCAUAAGAAAUGUUUUUCCGAGCAUUAAUUUUUAAGUUACUUGAGAUUUAGCAUUUAUACAUUUUUACAUCUUCAUGCUUAGCAUUUUAACUCUCCACCUUAGCCUAAUUAAUUAAUCAAGUUCGACCGGUUAACCAUUUUUAAUGGAUCUUAAAGGAUGCCUAACUCCUUCCCUUUAGAUUAGUUGAACCCUUACCUAGAAUCUUAAGUUUAGUAGACCUUAAAAUGAAGUUAACUUUAGAAAAUAACUUUAAUCAAUUUAGGUGUCCUAAUUCACCGUAAUAAUUAGGUGGCGACUUCUUAAAUUAGUCAAUUAACUUUAGAAAUCACCAAAAUGUUGUACACUAUUUUGACCCGGUUAAAAUGGGGUAUAACAGCUACGACAUGUGGACUUCUCAGCUGCCAUGUCCAAAUUACGCAUCUGGAGAUCCGUGAUUGUCCAUUAUUAGAAGCUCUGUCGGAUGGGCUCGGCAAACUUGCUUCUUUGGAAAAGUUAUGUUUAAGGAGCUGUGAAAAACUAGAACAUCUGCCAUCCAGAGAUGCCAUGCGACGCCUCACUAAAUUACGGAAUCUGGAAAUUGGAGGCUGCCCAAAGUUAAAAGAAAGUUGCACCAAUCGGAGUAUCCCAAAACUCCCAGUGGUCCAACAUUUCCCAUAUUCCAAAAAUUAAAGUAGGUGGGAGGAUGAUUCAGAACUUACGUAAGUCUCUGUUUCUCUUUCACUGUCUGAUCAGUCAAUUUUUUAAAUAUUAAUUUCCCUGUGUUCCAGAAAAGAAGUUCUGUAUGUGGUUUAACAUUUUUUUCUGCAAUUAUUUUGACAUUAAAAAAUGCAAAAUUAUUAUACAAUUGCAUUUGUGUUAUGCUUUCAGCAUUCUGCUUGUCCACUUGAACUGAAUUGUUCUUCUUCUAAUUCUUCAAGUAUGGUAUAUCUUGAUAUGAUUUAAUCAUGAGAUUUUUUGUUUUUUUUCCUUAUAGGUUACUAGUUUCAAGGCCAUGCUAGAACGUCGUUGUGGUAUUUGACUUGUUCUAACACAGAGAUAACUCUGGAAGCAUCAAUCAACUAUCUAUGAAAUUGUGUAAGUGUUAGAAUGUAAGCUGUUAGGAAGAGACUACAUUAGUUUCAGUCGAUUUGGUGUUUGUAUCAUAAUUUCCCUUAAGUUAUGAAGUAAAAGGAAUAAUAAGUUAUGUCGAGCGCCCCAUUAUACUGAAAUAACAAAAUAACUUUUUUUUCAUGACACAAUUUUACUGUUUAACAAGUUUGGUUUUUGAGUAUGCAUAUUUGCUCAUUUGCCCAAGUGAAACUAUUUUUCUAGUUUCUUUUCUGUUAUCUCUUUUGAUAAAAUAAAUAACCUUUUUUCCUGUAAUUAAGCUGUUUGGGAAGAGCCUACAUUAGUUUUAGGUGAUUUGAUGCUUUUCUCCAUAUAAUUCUUCUUCAUUUUUGUUUUGCCAGAGCUUCGAUCCAUAAUAUUGAUGCGAAAACCUAGGACUUGAAUGGAUCAACCAGUUUGAGGGCGAUCUGUCCGUUAGAUUGAAGGAUUCUCUGUUCAGCGGAAUGUCAUGAGAUCUGAUGUAGACCGAUGUCUUUUUGGACCGAAAUAAUGUCAUGAGACUUGUAUAGAUAGUAGAAGCUUCUCCAGUUUUUGUUGACUGUAGUAUUCAACAGUAUUCCUUUUUCCUUUUUAAUUUUCAGGGGACAGAUUGGAACAUUUUGUUAGAGAGGUCUAUAUAAGUUUCUUAAUAGACAUUCUCGUUACUUUCACUUUCAUUAAAACUCUCGCGAUUGAAGGACUUCAACAAAAAAAGUUACAAAAGACUGCUUUUUGUUGAAUCUUAUAGCAAAGAGUGCCCCAUUGGCUCUAAAAAUGUCCUUAGUAGCAUCUGUUCAUAUUUAUAGAUCUUGUAAUGAGCUGAUUCUCCAUUCUCAAAGAUCAAAAUGUGUGCGAAAACUGACUUUUACUGGCUCCUGUGUUUCGGAUUGAUGGUUGAAACAACGGCUUGGACUUCUUAUCUAAAUCGUAGACUGGAAAAGACUUGUAUGAGAUUUGACAGCAGAGGCCUUUCUGCACAAUGUUCAUAUGCUGUACCUGCCUUUCAUACAAACAAAAGUAAUAUAGGUUUAUGUCAUUUAAGUAACUCCUACUCUCUAGAAAAAAAAUUGAAACCUAAGUUUGAUUAAUCCAAAAAUAUAAUUUGGUUUACAAGAUCUAUCUUGUGUUUGUCUUAAUUGAUUGAUGUUCCAUGGUAGUAAAUAUUUCUUUGCAAAAUACUUCAUAUGCCAAAUAGAAAAUAAAAAAAUAAAAAAUGUGUAAGAGGAUUACAAGGUGGGAAAUUGAGCACGCUGGAGAAUUUUGUUGUGGGAAAACAUUGGAAAUCAUGGAGUUGUGCUUUUUGAAUAUUUCUCUAUCAAAACUUUGUUAAUUGAGGGGAAAGUUACCCAUUUAGUUGAGCAGAUAAAUAUAAUAGUAUCCACUAUUCAAAUAUGCAAUAAAGAUAUACGCUAUUUUGCAAGUAUAAGAAUAUACAAAGACUAGAGCAAAUAUAUAAAAUAUCUUUGAAUUUUGACUCAAGAUAGUCCUAUAUCUCUUAUAUGGACUUGUAAUAUACCACAUCAUAUCAUAUCACCAUUAUAUAUAUAUUAAAAGUGGGAAGCUCUUAACCUUAAAGUUGGAUUAUAUAUAAGUGGAAAGCUCUAAAGUAUAAAAUCAAAUUACCAUUUUACCCUUAAAACUUAUUUUUCAGAGCUAGAAAUUAAGGCUUGUUUUUGUUUUGUUAAUGUGCAGUGAACAGAAACAUCUAUGGUAAAUAAUAAUAAUAAUAUAUUUACUAUAAUAAUAUAGUUAAGUAUCUUUCAUUAUUUACCUGAUAUUAAUAUAUUCUUAUUAAACUUCAUCUAUUGAGCAAUUAUCAAUUAAGCUCAAUUAAUCUAAAGUUGAAAAGCCUGUUUUUUUCCGUUUUUUUUUACAAUAUAUAUAACAUUUAUUUUGAUGAUGAACAUUAAUUAGGAGGAAAAAGAAGAGACCAUUUUGUAAAAAUGAAUUUGGUUGCAGCUCUAUUUCAUCAUUCUUGCAACAUUCACUCAUAUGCUUUCUGAUUGUACUGAUUAUGAUUUAUGUAUUUCUUUUUCCAUUUAUAUUAUUACGAUUAAAGACUUAAGAAGGAUAUGUAUUGUGUAUGUUUUUUUUGGUAUGUUUUCUCUCUAUUAGAUUUUAAUAAAUUUAACUUUUUAUGAAUUUCUGAUUGUCGUACAUUUGUAUUUUUAUUUGGGAUCAAAUUAGCCAUUUGUGACUUUUGCAGAGUUUGCUAACUACUAACUAAAGUUCAAAAUUUAAAGUUGGUUGAUUAAAAGGAAUUAAUUUUUAACAUUAAUAUACGUCCUUCACUGGUGUUUCGUGCCACACUUUUAAAAAAUAUUUAUAAUUGUUGCAUUUUAUUGCUCAUUACAUACAUGUUUUCAUAAUUCAAAUAAAUCUAUAGAAAAUUACAUGGGACAAACGUGCAACUCGCGUGCCCAGAAACUAGUUUAUUUAUAAAAGGAACAUGAAGAUAUGUGUGAUUCAUCAAUGCGACGCUUUAGGAUGUUUCGAUAUCUUGUAUAUGAAUGAUGGUUUGCUCAUUUGGUAAAAUUACAUAAGAAUUGGAGAAAUUUGAUGCUUUUCACAACUGUUAGAUUUUUCAUGUUUACGAGGAAAAAUUAUAAUUUAAAAAAUCAAAAUUGCAUGUCCAUUUAGUCAAAUCUAUUUAGGGAUAUGCCAUCGCCGAGCUCAAAAUUGUAGUGAACCUGUGUUAUGUAUUAAUUGUAACAUUUUUUUUUACGUUCCUCUCCUAUUUGGGUUAUUUCAAUGUGUGACACGACAAAAAUGCUUGGUAGCCUAAGACCAUCUCCAACCCAUCUCUAUUUUACUCUCCAUUCUCUAUAUUUGGAGAGUAAAAUAGAGAAUGGGUUCUCCAACCACUCUCUAUUUCACUCUCUAUUCUUCAAUUAUAGAGAGGUGAAUAGUAGUUCUCCAAAUUUGGAGAACUACUAUUCACCUCUCUAUNNNNNNNNNNNNNNNNNNNNNNNNNNNNNNNNNNNNCCUCUCUAUUUUACUUUUUGAUUAUUAUAAUAUUAUUUCUAUUAUAUUACUAUCAUUUGUAAUUAUUUUCUAAUGUAACAUAACAUUUAAAAAUAUAUUAUCAACAAGUUACUACUUCCGCCAAAUUAAUAAUUUUUCUAUUUUAUUUUUUUAAAAGAAAUGGUCACUUUAAAUAUGUAAUUUAAAGUUAUUUUAAUAUUAUUUAUAUUAUAUAAGAUUAUUAAUUAUGUCUCUAAUAUUUGUAAUUAUUUUCUAAGUAAUAUAACAUCUAAAACAUUAUUGAUAAGUAUACUACUUCCAUCCCGAAUUAACAAUUUUUCUAAUUUAAUUUUUAAUUUUUUUUUUGUCAUUUAAAUAUGUAAUUUGGAUUAGAAUUAUUUUUCAUUAUGAAGUAUGCACAAAAAUUACAUGAUAAUUCAAACAAUCUACUUUUAUGUUAUAAUGAUAAAUUAUUAAACUACACUUUUUAAAGAGCAUGCAAAUAUUUGAUGCAAUAGUUCAAAAUGGAAUAGGGGAAGUAAAUUAGUACACGAAAUAAUUGGACACAAGAUGAAAUUGUUAAUUUAAAUAAGAUUUAGCUACACAUAAAAAAUAAGGAUAAAAAAUGCUUAUUUUGAACUCCGUAAUACAUUAAUAGAACAUUCAUGAGUAGGGGUGUGCAAACACCGAAUCAACCGAUAAAAGUGUUAUGGUUUAUUGUUAUUGGGUUAUUGGGUUAACGGUUUUUUAAUGGUUUUAUAAAAAAAAUUAUUGGGUUAUCGGUUCGGUAUUGGUUUUUAAUAUUGGGUUAUUGGGUAAACCGAUAACCCAUUAAGACUAGUAAUUUACUACUUUGUACAUAAAUAUUAUAUAUUAAUCUUAAUACCUUAGUAGUUACUACUAUCUUUGUCCUUUAGCCUUCAAUUCACACUUCACAAUGGAUUUGAGUUCACAAUUUCACAUUAUAAAAANNNNNNNNNNNNNNNNNNNNNNNNNNNNNNNNNNNNNNNNNNNNNNNNNNNNNNNNNNNNNNNNNNNNNNNNNNNNNNNNNNNNNNNNNNNNNNNNNNNNNNNNNNNNNNNNNNNNNNNNNNNNNNNNNNNNNNNNNNNNNNNNNNNNNNNNNNNAUAAAUUUUACGAUAAUACAAUAUUUAUGAUGCAAUUAUAUUUCAUCAAUGAGUUCAUUUUUAUUUGAAUUGUUCGUUAAUAUGUAUUAUAUAUAAUAUGUAUUGCAAUUUAUGUUAUUUAGAAAUUUAGAAUAAAAUAUAAUUUUAUAUUAAUGAAAAAUUUGAAAAAAAAAAAUUGUAUUACGUAAAAAUUAUAGAGUGAUUAUUUGCAAAAAGAAGAAAUGAUUUAUAUUAUGAAAUAAGAAAAUAAGAAUGAAAUAUAAAUAAUAAUAUAAUAUUGAGGAGAGAGAAAAAGAUUCCUUUUUAGAGAGUAAAAUAGAGAAUUGGAUUGGAGUUGAUUGUCUGAAAAAAUAGAGAACUCUAUAUUUGGAGAGUAAAAUAGAGGAUUGGGUUGGAGAUGCUCUAAAUGGUUGUUAAUCUUUUUCUUUGGCCUACUGUCAUCGGUCCGCCCUCCAUCAUUAAUGUCACACAUAUGAUAUGGAUUUCUUUUUGUUUUUAAAUAAAUGACUACAUCAUAGGUCUUUUUUUAAUAUAUUUUAUGGAAUAAGGCAUCAAAGACUAGAAUAAAGCUGAUGUCGUUUUUACUAAAGCAUCCAAUAGGAAUGAAGCACUAUCAUUAAUUAAUAAAGCACUAAUUGUUGUUUACCUACCAAUACCAUUAAUUAAUAAAUUAAUAAUGCAUUCAGAACUCAUAAUAUACACAUUCCAGUCUGUUUGUGCCAUUGCCAACUAUAAUUAUUGUUUGAUCUCCUCACCCAUCUCUAUGUACUAGACAACACCUUGUGCCAUAUAGUAUUUUGAUUUACAUCAAUCAGUUAACAAUCGAUUGAUCUACCAUUGAGCUAUUGAGAAAUAACAAGAGAUUCGAUAAGUUAAUAUUGAGGUAAGUUCCAUUGAUUCAUAAUUUAGUUUCAUACUUAAAGGAAAUCUUUAUCCUCUGAAUCUAUAUACUCCCCCUUCAUCAUUUGGUGAUUGUUUUUUCCUUUUAAUUUCCUAUAAUCCCUUCAUCUAACACCUGAAAAAUACAAUGAAGGAUACACAAACACAAGUCAUAAAGAAUAAAGCUAACAAAUAUUUUCAGUUCCACCAAGUCUACUACAGUCAAAUAAACGAAAGAAGGAAUUAAUGAAAAAGGAGAAAUAAAUUAUACAAGACACUAGUACAGUAGAUUGUACUAAUAUAUAAAACUUUUAGCUUUUGAAGUUUAGCUAGACCUAGAUAUUAUAUUUUUAUAAGGCAUCAUAGCCAGAUCUAUUUUCGUUUGCACUCCUGAUCCAUGCUCCAAUUGUGAAAAAGUUAGAUGAUUUUUUAAAAUUAUCAUAGAUUAGUCUCUAGAAUAGUUUAGUGUAGUAUCAUCAUAUCAUAUUAUCAUGUAUUAUAUCAUGUAGGCAUAAUACAUAAAUAUGCCCUUUAACAAUUGGCCUCAGCUCAUAUUUAUGUCUUUCAACUUUGAGUGUGCACAAGUAGACACUUAAACUUGCAUAAAAUUGAAUAAGUAAACACAUGCAUCCUACUGGCAAUUUAUGUCCUAUGUGGUGUCCUACGUGUAUUAUGCCACAUAAGACUCAUGUGUCUACUUAUUCAACUUUAUACAAGUUCAAGUGUCUACUUGUGCACACUCAAAGUUGGAGGGCAUAAAUGUAAAAUGAUGCCAAAUUAAGGGGCACAUUAUUAUUAUUAUUAUUAUUAAAAGUGGGAAGCUCCAAAGUGUAAAGUUGAAAUACCAUUUUACCCCUUUACUAAAUAUUUUUGGGAAAAUGCAUAAAUACCAACCAGCCUAUGCCCAAAAUCUCUGAGACACACCUAACCUUUACUAAGGUCCUAUUACCCCCCCCCCCCCAAACUUAUUUUAUAUAUAAUUUUCUACCCUUUUUCGACCUACGUGGCACUAUCUUGUGGGCCCAGUGCGUGUUGACAAUUUUUUCAAGGAUAGUGUCACGUAGGCUGAAAAGGAGUAGAAAACUAUAUAUAAAAUAAGUUCGGGGGGAGGGGGGUAGUAGGACCUUUGUAAAUGUUAGGUGUGUCUCAGGGAUUUUGGGCAUAGGUUGGGGGUACUUAUGCAUUUUCCCAAUAUUUUUUUAGAAAUCAUAUAUUAUAUAUUAUUAGUUAUUAUGUAUUAAAUAUUAUGUUAUCAUUUAUCAUUAUCAUUCAUUCAUAUUCAAUCAUCCUUAUCUAUAAAUGUUAAUUUAUUUUUUGUUAGAAUAAAGAAGACAAAUGAAGAGUUGUGGAAAUGAGUAGUUAUGAAAAGCUACAACAAAUAAGUAUAAUAAAAAGGUCUUUCGCGAGCUUGCAAUAAUGGGAUGUUAGAAAUUUACUUUUUUUAUGAAAUAGUAAAAUGCCUGUAGAAUUUGAAAAGUUAAUAUUUCAUUAAAAACAUAAUAAAAGAUUGCAUUCAUCUAUUUAAACAAUCAAUCCUUACUAUUAAAACAUAAAGAAUGUGAAGAGUUACAUUGAAUUAAAAAAAAGACCAUAAUCAUCUAUAAAAUCAAAUAUAUACGGAUCACUUUUAUAGAAAAAAAGGAGAGAAAAAAUCAUGAAUUUUAUGGAUUAAUGUUGGAGAAGAGAAUUUUGUUCUCAUUUUUUUUCUUGGAAAAAUCUGAUUCAUAUGUCCAUCUCAAAUUUGUUUGCUCUAAUAUAUUGCCAUGCAUAUUUUUAAUUUUGUUUGCUAACUAAUUUUUAUUUGUUUCUCCACAUUACAGAUUUAACUUUGUGCACUCUUCACUUCUCAAUCACUAAUAUCAGGUACUCAUUUUCUAACAAUUAUUAUUUUACAAAAAUAUAAUAUAAUUUAUAGGAAAAUGUAAUCUAUGUCUAAGAUUUAUGAGAAGUAUAAAGAUAUUAACGUUAUAUAUAUAUAUAAAUGAUUAUUAGUCCUUUGAACUUUUUAAUUUUUUUUUUUGAAUAUUUACACAUGGUGAUAGAUUCUUUUAUAUUUAUUACAUUAUAAUUAUAUUUGCAAAAGUUUACUAAAAUUAUUCUGUUAAAUUCACAUAUAUUAUAAUUUAUAAUCUUGAAUUAAACAUAGGAUGCAUGUAAGCAUUUGAAAACAUAAUGAUUAUGUUGUUCAUGUUCACAUUCAGACUAUUUGUUGUUGAAAUAUCAAAAGACAAAAAUAUGUCAUAUAUCAUAAAAAUUGCACAAGAAAAAGGAAGGACAAAUCAAUUCAAUUUAUUAUAUAUAGUUACUUUACUUUUAAAUUUUUAAUUAAUCAUUAUAUACAUGUUUAAUAUUAUCUAUAUUAAUUUAAAGGUUAGAUAGGUUGACAUUGAACAAAGGUGCAACACACGUUUUCAUAGACUAGUAUUACUAAAAGUGAGAAGCUCUAGAUACAAAAUUGAAUUUUCAUUUUACCCUUACACGAAAUAAAAAUAUUAUAAAAUAUUCAAUUUAUAAAAUAUUUAUUAAUCAAAAUAUUUUAAAGCCUUUUCACGUCAUAGAUUUAUUGCAACCUAAAGAGUGACGUGUUUAGUAAGUAAUACAUUGAUCCGUUAUUAAUUUAAUUAGUACGCAAUUAAUAAAUUUUUAAAGAAAUUAGAUAGCAAAGUCAUACUAUAAUAAUAUAAUAAUAAAAGUGGGAAGCUUCAAAUACAAAGUUGGAUUACCAUUUUACCCCUAGACUAAAUUAAAAUAUUAUAAAUAUUCAAUUAAUUAAAUGUUUAUUAAUCAAAAUAUUUUAAAGUCUUUUCACCUCCUAAAUUUAUUGCAAGCUAAAGAGUAAUGUGCAAACUGGUAAAUAUUUUUUUUUGUCAUAUUAAUAUUGCUUAAUGAAUCAGCCACAAUAAUCCCACUCCCACUCUGAGUGUAUAUAUAUAUAUAUAUAUAUAACUAAAGUAUAUAGAAGACAAGAGCAUUUUGAAUAUAAAAUGCCAUGUUAUUCUUAAAAAUUAUACAAUAUUUACUGCAUAAACAUUUUAGAACUAAAAGUAUAUUAGAAGACAAGAGCAUUUUGAAUAUAAAAUGCCAUGUUAUUCUUAAAAAUUAUACAAUAUUUACUGCAUAAACAUUUUGAACUAAAAGUAUAUAGAAGACAAGAGCAUUUUGAAUAUAAAAAUGCCAUGUUAUUCUUAAAAAAUUAUACAAUAUUUACUGCAUAAACAUUUUGAACUAAAAGUAUAUAGAAGACAAGAGCAUUUUGAAUAUAAAAAUGCCAUGUUAUUCUUAAAAAAUUAUACAAUAUUUACUGCAUAAACAUUUUCAAUAUUACAAUUUACAAUCUUAAAUAUAUUAGUGGUUCCAAUGUAUUAUAAGUAUUUAAUUAGUUUUUUGAAAAGAAAAAUUGUCAUCAAUAUUUUUUCUAAUAAAAACGAUAGUAAAAUGAUAAUAAAAAUCACACUUUAUAAUAAAAUAUUAUUAUUUUUAUCAAAUAAUAUAGUAACUUAUUUAAAUUGUCUUAAUUAACAAUACAAUAUCAUAUGCACCAAUGGUUAUUUUUACAUAAUGUCAAACAAAUAAAUUCGAAUUAAACACUUAAUUUGAUGAUAUUCUUUUCACAUUUAGAGUAGUAUAAACAUGAAAAAUAAAAUUAAAUUAUAUCUUAUUUUUAAGAUAAUAAAUAUUAUUUUUAAUUAUUUAUUUUUAAUACAUAUGAAAAAUAAAUUAACACAAAGAAAUAGAUAAUCUUUUUAUUUCACUUUAUUUGAAAAUCCGCAUUUGAUUAUGAAAAUUACAAAUAUAACUUAAAGUUGUAUUUGAAAUUUGAAAAACAUUCAAAACCUUGUUAAUACUUUAAGGGGCCGUUUGGUUACCGUAUAAGAUGCAUUUUUUUCUCAUAUAUAAAAAGUUGUAUCUGUUUUACUAUGUUUGGUAGAAAUUUUGUAUUAGGUAGAAAAACCAACAUGACUUACCAUGUUUGGUUGAUACGUUUCUCAAAAUUGUAUAAAAGUUAUUCUUGUAUUAAUUCUAUACAGUGUAUUGUUACAUUUUUUGUAAUCCUACAUAAUUGAUACCUACAUAACUUAUGAGGGAAUCUAUGUAUAAAUUAUACAUGAUAAAAGAUGGAAUAAGUUAUGAGGGUAUUAGUUAUACAUGUAUUAAAAAAACUACACAUUUAUCCCUAUUACCUUUUUAUAUUGAAAACUCUAGAUAAAACUUUACAUAACUAUUCUAUUUUCCUAGCUAUUUUUGUUUCUUAUUUCUUUUGUAUACGAACAAUUUUUUAUUUGUUUUCAUUUGAAAUCAAAAUAUAAAUAUUUUAUUAAUAUUAUGAAUCGGAAUGUAUAAUUUUGACAACGCAUAUGCUAAUCAUAUAUUAUCACCAUAUAUUACUAAAUAUAUUCCACAUAUUUAAUUAUUAUGUAUUGUUUUUUUAUUUGGAAUAUAAAUUUAUAUAUAACUCAUAUAUUUGGUAUACUAAAAAUGUACAAAUAAUACAUGCAGCAUCUUGAUAGAAAUUUACAUUAUAUAAAAUAGGAUUUUAUAAUGUACUUGAAAUAUAUUUGUGGUAUUUUAUUUUUAUAAGCUUUAAACAUUAAAAAAAAAUAGAGAGAGAAAAAAUAAAUAGAAUUCCCACUUAAGUAUAGAGAAGAUUUUUUGGAAGUUUUUUUUUUUUUUUUUUUUUUGGGAAAUUAUACGAUUUGCUUGCUUAUUUAUUUGUAAAUAAUAUAUUCAAUAAUUAAUAAUUUAUGUAUUGUAAUCUCUACAUAAUUAAGUAAUACCUACAUAACUAAUAUUUGCAUAACUAACACCAACAUAAUUAAUACCACAUAACUAAAUCCUGCAUAACUAAAUCAUGCAUUACUAAAAACUGCGUAACUCUAACCAAUAACCAAACAGCCCCUAACUAUAUUAUCCUUUUUAAAAUUUUAUCACAAAUUCUUUAUUCUUAUAAAAAUGACCCCAUUUGAAUUAUAUUUCAUAUUAGUUUAUUUAUUUAAAAAAAAAAACACAUUCAAAUAAUCAAAUAUAAUUUGCAAAAUCAAUAGCUUGACACAAGUUCAACUUCAAAAAAUUUAAAUAAAGUGAUUUUUUUUUUGUUAUAGUAUGUGGUAGUUCUUAUAUGAGAUCUAAUCUAUGACAUUAUACAACUAUCUAUUUUGAGAUAUUACUUUUUUUUAGUGCAAUUUGGUUGUACGUCUCAGGUAUAUUAGUCAAGUAAUUUUUAGAAACUGAGGAAUAUAAACCAUAUUUAGAAAAACAUAAUAUAUAAAUAUAUCUUUUAACUUGGCUUCGUCUGACAUCUAUGACAUUCAACUUAGGGAGUGCACAAGUAAGCACUUAAAAUUUUAUAAAGUUGAAGAAGUAGACACACGCGUCCUACGGGGAAUAACACACGUGGGAGCCACAUAAAAUAUCGCAUAGGACGUGAAUUAUAUUGUCACGUAGGACACAAGUGUCAACUUGUUCAAUUCUAUACAAGUUUAUGUGUCUACUUAUGGAUAUCUAAAAUUGAAGGACAUGUUAGAUGAAACAAAUUAAAUGACAUAUUUAUAUAUUAUGCCUUUAGAAAAAGUAUAUUUAAAUUCUAAAUAUUUUUUUGCAUAAAAUUUAACCAAACAUGACUUCAACUAUAAAUUUUUUAAAUAAAAUAAACAGUAUUUUUUCAUGAUCAAACCACACUAAGAAAGGAAAUGAUUAAAUGCCCUCAAAUUUGAAUUUUUGGUAUGAAAAAAUCUCAUUAAAAACUAUACAUUCAAAAAUAAAAAAGAAUUUUUUUUAAAAUGUAUCAGCUUGAAUGUACAUGGUUUUGAAGUAAAUCAAUAAAUGGGGUCCAUGUAACUUUGCAAUGAUUUCUUUUACUCCUCCCAAUGUAUUGGUACACGUGUGCCCAUUAAAAUCCACAACUAUUGACUUAGUGAUGGAUUCAUUGGGAAUUACAUAAAUUUUGGUUGGUUUUUCUGAAAAUUUUAAUACUUUAUGCACAAUGUACACUUAAACUAAGCUUGAAAUAUUUUUUGUUUGACAAAACUACCCUUGGUCGUCCAGGGCUUCACAUUUCUAUAUAAUAGAUAGAAAAAUAUAUACAUGUCAUGCUUCUUUUUUCCUUCCACAUAUUCCUCAUUUGCAUGUUAAUUUUUUUAGUUAUUAUUGAAGAUUUUUGUUUGUGCUUAUGAGUUUCAUGUUAUAUUCUUCUUUUCGGAAAAGGGCCUAAAAUACCCUCAAACUAUUGGAAAUGGUAUAAAAUUACCCUCCAUCCACCUAUUGGCUUCCAAAUUAUUUUCUUUUCCUAGUUAAGUUUGAUACUAAAAAUAAAAUUCAUAAAAUAAAUUCAUUUUCUCAUUAAGUUGUAUUAAUUUAAUAGGAUAGUGACUUAAAAUUUUAUUUUUUAGAGGUCAAUCGAAAAACAUGUAAGAAAUUGAAUUAUUUUUUAUUGAACCAUUUUCAUUUACUAUCUUGAAUAUUUUAGUAGCUUUAAAUAAAUUAUCUUAAUAAAUAACGUUCUAUCACUCUUAUAACAUGUAAAAAUUAAAAUUGAAUUUAAACCCACAUAAAAUCACAUAUACCUGCAACCCGUCCCGCAUUAGUUUUAAAAAAACCCACUUCAAUCCGCCCCGCACAACCUUAAACUGGCCAUGCAUAGCUUUAAACCCACUCCACCCCACAUGCGUCCCGCCCCAUUGUCAUCCCUAUUGAUAUCUAUCUAUUGGCUCUCAAAUACCCUUCCAUCCACCUUUGAGUCCAAUAUUGACCACUUUUAUAGUGGAUUAUCAUUUAAAAAUAAUUUUUUUAAAUGAGUGGCGACCAUCUAUUGGUUAUAAUUUAAUAACUUAAAUUAAUUUACAAACUCACUCAUUACUAAUUAUACCCGACCCAAAUUGACUACACUCAACUCAAGUUAACUAUACCCGCCCCAAAUUACAUUUACCCCACCGAUUUAAACAAAUACACCCUUCAUUCCCAACAAUUCAUGUCCUCUUCCAACCUUACAUUCCCAAUAUAUUUGCUUACAAUCUCGAAAAACUCUACCCAAGUACACUCAUGUAUCACCACAAAAAAUCAUGAGUGUUUUGGUGAUUUUUUUAUGGUGAUACAUGUGUGUAUUUAGGUAGUGUUUUUCGAGAUUGUAGGCGGAUAUAUUCGGGAAGAAGAUUGGAAGAUGAAGUGAAAUGUUGAGAAUGAACGGUGUAUUUGUUUUAAUCGGUGGGGUAAAUGUAAUUUGGGACGAGUGUAAUUAAUUAAUUUGGGUCGGGUGUAAUUAAUAAUGGGUGAGUUUGUAAAUUAAUUUAAGUAAUUUAACUGUAUCCAAUAGAUAAUCGUGUCGUUUUGAAGUUUUUAUUUAAAUGAUAAUCCGUAAUAAAAGUAGUUGAUAUUGGAUCCAAAGAUGGAUGACAUGGGUAUUUGGGAGCCAAUAAAUGGAUGAAGGGUAGUUUUGUACCAUUUUCAAUAGUUCAAGGGUAUUUUAGGCCCUUUUCCGUUUUCUUUUUUAUACUCUAUAAUAAUUAUUAUACAAUCAAUUUUUUUAGUGGAAGAAGACUUUGGUGUAGAGGAAGAAGGAGCAAAAAUAACAAUGGCCGAUCCAGUAAUUGGUGCUACUGUUCAAGUUGUGCUUGAGAAGCUGCUUUCUCUCACUAUUGCGGAGGCCAAAACUUUAAGGAACUGCAAGAAAAAUCUCAGAAUGCUCACAAAAUAUGUAUCCAUCAUCCAAGCUUUCAUUCAUGAUGCUGAAAGACGACAAGUCGAAGAUCAGGCUGUGGAAGAAUGGCUUAAGAUGCUUGAGAGAAUUGCUGAAGAUGCUGAAAAUGUGUUUGACAAAUUCACAUAUGAAUCUCUCAAAGCACAAGUGAUGAAAAACCGAGCCAAACUGAUGGAAAAAGUCCGUAGCUUCUUUUCUAAUAAUGUUUUCAAUUACAAAAUGUCUCGAAAAAUCAACAACAUCAAUGAAGAGUUGAGGGCUAUCAAUCAGUUAGCCAAUGACCUCGGUCUCCAAGCACUGACUGUUCCUUCUCACAAAAUACUACAAAUCCGAGAAACAGACUCCGUAGUAGUUGCUUCGGAUGUUGUUGGUAGAGACAAAGAUGUUGCUGAAAUAAAGGAGAAGAUUUUGAAUAUCAGAGAGGAAGUUGUUCUGUGCACCAUUCCCAUAGUGGGUAUGGGGGGGUUAGGGAAAACUACAGUGACCAAGAGAAUUUUCAAUGAUGAUCACAUCAAGCAGCACUUCGAAAAGAGAGCUUGGUUGUGCCUACCUGAAAUGUCAGAAAUUAAGAGCUUUCUUGAACUGAUCCUCGAAUCAUUGACACAGAGGAAAGUUGAGGUCCAGAGCAGAGAUAUAAUAGUCAAGAGACUACAAGAUGAAUUAGGAGGAAAAAAGUAUUUGCUGGUCCUGGAUGAUUUAUGGCGUGUUGACUCUACAUUGUGGCACGAUUUCGUGGACACCUUGAGGGGAAUAAAUACAUCCAGAGGAAACUGCAUUCUCGUGACUACUCGUAUGAAGCAGGUUGCCUCCAUAGUAGCAGCAGAUCUUCAUAUGUUGGGGAAAUUAACAGAUGAUCAUUGUUGGUCCAUUUUCAAACAUAAAGCAUUUGUUGAUGGGGAAGUUCCAAAAGAAAUGGUGAGCAUGGAAAAGAGGAUUGUUGAAAUAUGUCAAGGUCUACCGUUGGCUGCAAGUGUAUUGGGAGGCCUUUUAUGCAACAAGAAAAGACAUGAAUGGCAGGCAAUUCUUGAUGGCAAUCCCCUUGUAGGUGAAGAUGAUAAUGGGGAAAAUAGGACAAUGAAAAUCCUAAAACUCAGCUAUGAUUAUCUACCAUCCCCACAUCUGAAGAAAUGUUUUGCUUACUUUGCAAUGUUUCCAAAAGAUUUUAAGUUUAAAAAGGACCAACUAAUCCAACUCUGGAUGGCAGAAGGCUUUCUUCGUCCAUGUCAAGAGACCCCUGUGAUGGAAGACGUUGGGAACAAGUUUUUCCAACUCUUGUUGCAAUAUUCCUUGCUGCAAGAUGUUGAGCUAGAUGACCUCAAUAUUAUAAGACGUUGUAAGAUGCAUGAUCUUGUGCAUGAUUUGGCUGGAGAUGUCUUAAAAUCUAAACUAUUUGAUCCGAAGUGCGUUGUAGGAGAAAAACUUUCUCAAGUUCGAUACUUUGGAUGGGACUCACCAAGUGAUCAAAUAGAUAAGAUAUAUGAGCCAGGACAUUUGUGCACAUUGUUCUGGAAAACAAAUAUAUCUGAAGAUAUGCUGUUGAACUUUCAGUUCUUGAGGGUUUUAAAUUUGUCCAGGUCAGGCAUCAAGAAGGUGUCAGCCAAAAUCGGCAAGCUUAUAUACUUGAGAUAUCUUGAUCUCUCCGACACCAUGAUCAAAGUCUUACCCAAUUCCAUUUGCAAGCUCUACAAUUUACAGACAUUUAGUGUCCAUAAUUGUUCUUCACUCAUGAAGCUUCCAAAAGGAAUGGCAAAUAUGAUAAGUUUGAGACACAUAUGUUGCGGCCAUCAUUACCAAUCAGCUUUUUGUUUUGGUGGUUGCGGAUCAAGGUACCAAGGUAGUGAUCAGUUUCAGAUGCCACUUAAUAUGGGGCAAUUGACUAGUCUUCAAACACUAGAGUUUUUCAACGUAGGUUUAGAGAAAGGUCGUCAAAUAAAAGAAUUAGGUCGUUUGAAAAACCUUAGAGGUGCAUUGAUAAUCGGCUGUCUCCAAUUAGUCGGAAAUAAAGAAGACGCUCGAACAGCAUAUUUACAGGAGAAACCAAAUAUCUACAGGCUGGCAUAUUUGUGGUCCCAUGAUGAAUCAGAAGGCAGUGAGAUCAAUGAUGAACAUGUGUUGGAUGGUCUUCAACCGCAUCCUAACUUGAAAACCUUAGUAGUUGAGAACUAUUUGGGGACUAUAUUACCUUCAUGGUUCAGUGAAGAAUUGCUGCCAAAUUUGGUCAAGUUGAAAUUAAGUGAUUGCAAAAGGUGCAAAGAAAUUCCAUCCCUUGGACAACUGAAGUUCCUUCGGAAUCUUGAACUGACAGGAUUCCUUGAAUUGGAAUGCAUCGGACCUACAUUUUACGGUGUUGAUGUUAAUGAUAAUAGAUCAAGCAGCAAUAAUGGCAAUAUCCAAGUGUUCCCGUCAUUGAAAGAACUACUGUUGAAGGAUAUGCGUAGCCUUAUUGAGUGGAAGGGAGAUGAAGUUGGAGUAAGAAUGUUUCCUGGGCUUGAGAAGUUGACGAUUACAGACUGUUCACUGUUAAAAAGUACUCCUACUCAAUUUGAAAUCCUGCGUGAAUUAAGAAUUGAAGGAGUUGACAGUGAAAUGCCAUUGUUGAACUUGUGCAGCAACUUGACAUCUCUUGUGAAGCUUGAUGUUUCUAAAGUGAAAGAGCUCACUUGUCUUCCAGAUGAGAUGCUACGCACUAACGAUUCUCUUCAACAC
rnacentral:lncRNA from 1 species